rnacentral:lncRNA from 1 species
GUCAAGAUGGUUUCAGCUAAAUUAAUAGCCACUGGAUUGAUUUGUGUAUUCUCAUACUCUACAUAAGCAGCAGCGGCCUCCAAACUCACUAAACCUGUCUGACUUGGGAACAACACAAGGCCAAAAAUGCCCAAGGCAAUCAAUCUCUCUUGUUCUGAUCCUGACUUCUUUUCCAGCUCAAUUUCUAGCAUCCUCCAUUUCAGACUGGUAUCAUUCUUUCCCAAAACUUUUUCCAAGUUGGAGAUUCUAAGCAGUUUUGACAAUUCGGGGAUUAUCUUGUCAAAUCUCAAAGGAAAAUAAAUCCUAUACAAAUUGUUUGGAAACUCAAUCAACAUCCUAUAUUCCUUCAUAGUGGGACAUAGGUCUAUGCUUCCAAAAGAAAAACACUGGUAGUCUAGAUCUCCAAAUGAACUAAGACUCGCACAGCUAGGCUUAAAACUUCUACCCUUGCAAUUUCCAUCAAACGUCUGUAUCUACUAAAAAUGCAUCCUUAUCCACAUUCUGAAAGUGAGUCGUUAACUUGUUCACCUCAUUCAUAAUGCAAUUCAGGUUCUUGAUUGGUGACAGUUUCUUGGCAUCGCUUCUAAGGCAAUCUCUUUCAGUCAAUUGUGACAUUUCAGAAUUUUUUUCAUAUUCUAUGAUGGAAAAUUUAGCAAUGGUGGCCAUUUCAUUCACAAGUCCUGGGAUUCAAAAUGCCUUAGGUUUAGACUUGUUUUGAUGCAAAAGAUAUUAUGGAGCAUACAACCUUAAGGAUAGGUUCUAGUUCCUUUACGUGAGACAUAGGGUAGGUUUACUACUUGGUCUCUAAAAAAGGGUCUCUUGCUGUCCCAGUGAUCGCCCUUGUAAAGGCAAUAUGGGGGUUCAACAGAUAGUGGGAUGGCAAAUGUACCAAUCACUAUCAGUCUAAACACUCAGCAAAGAGUUGGGGUUUACACAAACUUAAACCUUGACUCAAGUCAUAAGGCAAGCUGCUAGUCCCCCACCUAACUUAAAGUUUAAUGUGUGUGCUCUCGACAAGAUAGUAAUAAUACAAGUGAUGCAUGAUAGGCUCUGCAAUAAAAUCUAUAUCCAUAUCCGAUAUACCAUGCAUGAUAGGAUGUAAAGAUGCAUGCUAAAGCUUUUAAACAAAGUAUCAUUCAUAGUAAAAAAAAAACAACAACACAUGGCAUAACAAAAAAAAACAAUUACCAAGCUUAGUCCAAGGGUCCCCAGCGGAGUUGCCAUCCUGUCGCACCCUCCCGAGAGCUCGACGUCGCGGCGACACUUCCUCCGUAGCGGGGAUUCGAUGUUGGGGUCUUUCUGUUGUGAAAAAGGGAGUCGCCACCUAGUAUUAUGGUCACUAGGAAACCUAACUGGUCUUUCAGAGAUUCUAAGGCAAGGGACUGGUUGCGUAAAGGGAAGGUUUUAGCACCCCUAGUACGCCCUACCUAAGGUAAGCUGCUUGGUGUUUGAUUUGCCUUAUAAUUGUUAUGGUGUUGAUGUUCUCUAAUCCCAUCAGUUUCCUAGGAUAAGUCUGCUCUGAUGAACGAAAUCUAGGGUGCUUUAAAAAACCUAUUUUUUGUCUCGUAAACCGUGGAGUAAAAAAAUUGAAAUGUCCUCGAUUAUAAUCAAGGCUUCUUUCAAGGAUUUGUGCGGAUUUAUUAUUCCUAGAAAAUUAUUUUGGAUAUUUACCACUCCGGGUUUCUUUAUCCAAAUAUUAACAGUGAAUAAUAACAAAUUAUUCCCAAUAAUAUUUUGGAUAUUCGUCCUUUAAAGAUUUCUUUAUCCAAACAUUAGCGGUGAAUAAUAGAUGAAUUCCCCCAAAAUAAGAUUUUUAUAUUUUUUGGAAUAUUGGCCAAUACCCUUUGGAGUUUUACAAACAUGUUGUAAAAUCCAGAAAUGCAAGAAAAAUGACUUUUGUUGUGUUUAAGAAAUCCAUGCGAAAACACAUUUUUAAAGCUUCAAAUAUUUGUUUUUUAUAUAAAAAAACAUAAAAACAAUGUUAGGGUAUUGGCCGUAUGCAGGAAAACAAAACAUUUUUUAUUUUAUAUUUUUUUUUGAUGUCUCGACGAAAACCGGGUAUUUUCAUACCGGACUUGUAUCUUUAUAGUACAAAAAUACAACCUUGCAGAAAAUCACAGAUUUUUUAAAUACAUCUUUGAAGAAAACUUUUUGAAUGAGCCAGACCCGGCCCAAAAGGAAAAUGGGCCGAAAUCAGCCCAAAAAUAAAAUGGGCCUACUUUCUACAGGGCUGGACUCAGCCCAGCCCAAACCACAUGACUGGUACUGUUCACUGUACAGUAAACGUGUAUUGUUCCUAUGCACAGUAACACGUUAAUUAAUUUUCCAGUUACUGUGCACAUGCACAGUAACCGGGUAAUUAUUAUUCUCACCUUAACAAAGCAAACUGCAUGCAAAAGACCACGUUACUGUUCAAGUGAAUUAAAUUUCACUUGAACAGUGCAAACACAAAGCAAAGAAUGCUCACGGUGCGGGAGGUGAAGAGAACAGACCUGGGAACGAACGGAUAACGGUGGCGAAGGCUUGCUGGCUGGUCGAUCAGUGCUGCCGUCCGCUUCAGCUUUCCCCCCUUUAUUCUCUGUUGGCGUUCUUCUUCUGAGUUUCCUCCUCUACAAUCUUCGGUCCUCUCUCUUUCUUCUGGUUUUCUGCACUUCUUCUUCCCUGUUUCUGCAGGUUUUAUAUGCAAGAAAAUGAAAGCAAAGACCAAAAAAGAUGAUGAGCUGGUGCGGUUGGUGGUGUUGCUGCGGCUGCCCUUCCUCCUCGUUUGUGCAGCUGCGGGUGCGGUUGGUGGUGUUGCUGCGGCUGCUCUUCCUCCUGGUGUGGCUGCUGGGACGAAGGAAUGAUGAGCUGGUGCGGUUGGUGGUGUUGCUGCCACUGCUUUUCCUCCUCUCUGGUGUUGCUGCUGCUCUUGCUUAUGGCUGCUCACAGUGGUCGUCUCCUUCACGGGUGGAAGAAAGUCUUCUGCUGGCAUGGCAAAGGAUCGGCGCCCUUGGAGUCUCGGUUUUCUGCUCCUUUACUGUCCUUUGGCCUCCCCUCUUACUUCUCCAUCUCUGUAAUGAGCUGCUGUUAGCAGCGAAGAGGAAGGGAGAGUGAAGGGCCGGCGCAGGAGCGGGAGCUGCACCCCAAUCAAACAGAAAGUCCACCUUGCUCUGGGCAUAAGUCGGCAGCAGGAAUGGAUUGUUGGGCUACAUCAGUUGUCCAUUGGCUAUCGGCUAUAGUGCUACUCCAUUCCCUAGCAGAAAUCCCGUAGUCAGUGGGAGGGAGUGCAUAAUCAGCAGCUGGAACUGUUUCCUCCUCUUCCUGUUGCUCUUUCACUAUUUGUCAAUCUCUCCUCUGCUUCCUUACGAACCCUGUCUGUCUCUUUUUUUGUUUUUUUCGAAAGGUUUCCCAACUCUCUGUUUCUUUCUUCCUACGCUGCCCAAUUCCCCUUCAUGUCUCCCUCCAUUCCUUUUUAUUUUUCAUGUUCUCCUCCCUUCUCCGUUUCCUUCCUGUUCUUCUCUUCUGUAUUCCCCUCUCAACAGUUCUUGGCGUGGCUGCUGGGAUGAAGAAUAUGAUGAGCUGGCGAUGGCGUUCUUCCCUCUGUUUUUGUUCCUGCUCCUUCUCUGUUUUCCCGUGGGCUGCUGCUUCGUUGCACCGCUGGAGGAGAAGGAACUGCUGAGAAGAAAAUGGUUGCUGCUGCUGUGGGGUUCGGUGGAGGCUGGUCUUAAGAGAAGCUGCUGGAUCGUGGGGAGAAUCUGGUGGUGUUGGGAGGAAGCCGACGAUGCCUCGCGGUGGUCAGGAAGGUGGCGGUGUGCUUCCAAACGGUGGAGGGAGUGAGCAGAGAGAGAGGUUACCGUCCUUCUCUUCCCCUCUGUUUUCCUCCUUUAACUGCCAUCUCCUUCGUUCAAAACCCCCCCUCUUUCAGUUUUCCAGCCCUCUCUCCCAUUUUCAAAAACUCUUCCCCCCUUUUCAAAAACUCUCCUCCUCCUUUCUAAUUUUCCAGCCCUCCCUCUUUUUCAAAAAACUCUUCCCCCCCCUUUUGCAGCUGCGUCAAAGGGGAGCGGGGCAGCAGCAUGCGCAUGGGGAGCAGGGGACACCAAGCCAGGGCAGCCUGCGCUGCUCCCCUGCCUGCGCUGCUCCCCACUCCUGAGGGUCUCGGGCAGCGGCAUGCACAUGGGGUGAAUGGUGUCUACACUAUUUUGGGGUUUUUCUUUUUUUCUUUUUUUUCUUUUUAUUUUUUAUUUUUAUGGGGAUCCAAAAAUGGGUUACAACAAUGACAAUGUCACCGAUGGAAUGAAAACCCGUCGGUAUAUUUCAAGCGAGAAUCUUUUUUUUUUUGUCGCGCACGUUCCGUAUGUAAAACCGUCGAUAAAUGGUUUUUUUGUUUUUUCGACUGAUAUACCGACGGAAUGGGGAAUCACCGACGAAGGUAAAGCUGACGGACUUAUUCCUUCGGUGAUGACGUCGGUAAAAAAAUCACUGACGAACUUCUAAUCAUACACCGACAGAAUUGUUCUGUCGGUAAAACUGUGAAAUCUUGUAGUGUGAAACUAUGAAGAAGUUACAAGGAGUUGGUGGGAGGUUGGUGACUUGGUGGCGGAGGUUGGUGGUGGGGACUCUAGUGUACAGUUUAUACUGUAGUAAAUAAUUAAUUAUUAUUUUUAGAGAUUAAUAUUAUUUUAUAAACAAGCUCAAAAUAUUAUAAUAUUUGAAUAAAAAUAGAAAAAAAAUACAUAUUAGAGUAAUUUUUCUCUUGAAAGUAUGUUUUAAGAGUAAUGUUUAUUAUUUUUAAUCAUAAAUAAUUUAGAACCUGAAUUUUUAGGAUUAAUAUCUAAUUUAAAAUUUUUGUUCCCUUAAAUUAUUAUUACAUAACAACUCCAAUAAAAUCUUAAAUUUUAGGAAUAGUGUGACGACCUAGUCUAUGGACAAUAAUAAGAAACACAUGCCAUCAUUUUAUAAAAAUUUUAUAAAAAAGGUGUAAAUGUAGUGUAUAUACAAACACGUGUGAAUGUUGUAUAAAUAUAAAGAGGUUUCAUCACUAAAAAUUUUCUAGUCCAAAACACUUUGGAAUGGCUCCCACCCACUUGGAUUCAUCGUUUAGCGCUCUCCCCACAUUAGCAUCUCCUAGUCGACCCUUAGUAGAAUCUGUAUCAAGCAAGAAUUCUAAAGGUCGCUGCAAGGUUGCCACCGGAGAUGAUGACCAAAUUGUCCGGAGGUCGGCAAAUUACCAAACUUCCAUGUGGGACUAUGAUUUUGUUCAGUCACUGACUAGUAAAUAUAACGUAUAAUUGUUUGUCCUUGUAAUCUCAUGUUAUUUUAGUGUCACGCAACUUGAGUUGAAUACUUGAAUUUGUUGUUGUUUAGGGAGAGCCGUACAUAGCGCGAAGCGAAAAGCUGAAGGCAAACAUAAGGAUGAUGCUGGCGAAUGCAUCGAAACCCUUGGAUCAACUUGAGCUAAUCGAUACCUUGGAAAGACUUGGAUUAUCUUACCAUUACGUUGAUGAAAUAAAGAGCACUUUGAAGAGCUUAUUUGAUGAAAAUCAUAUAGAGAAUACAGAGACAGUGCAUGAUUUGUAUGCUACUGCUCUAGAAUUUCGACUCUUAAGGCAGCGUGGAUAUCAUGUGCCUCAAGGCAAGUCUUUUAAUCAUUGUAGAUAUCGAUGGUUAUAUGCAUUCUCAUGAAUAAUUGUGUUAAGGUUUGUGUUCUCCAUUUGUAGAGGUUUUCAAUCAUUUCAAGGACGAACAAGGAAACUUUAGGGCAUGUAUUCAUGACGAUUUGAAGGGAAUGAUAAACCUGUGUGAACCUUCAUACUUCUUGGUAGAAGGUGAGAACAUAUUAGAAGAUGCAAGAGACUUCACCACCAAAAAUCUUGAAAACUAUGUCAAGAAGUGCAACACUACCGAAUAUCUUUCAGAGUUGGUGAGCCAUGCCUUGGAGCUUCCAUUGGCUUGGAGGAUGCUGAGAUUGGAGGCCCAUUGGUUCAUCAAUUUGUAUGAAACUAAAACUGAUAUGGAACCUGUUUUGUUAGAACUAGCAAAACUAGAUUUCAACAUGGUACAAGCAGUAUACCAAGAAGAUCUGAAAGAUUCAUCUAGGUACGUAUAAUUGAGAAGAUACUUCAUAUUAUUUUAUAAAUUGGAAGCAAAUUGAACUACAAAUAAAAGCUAAUAUUAUUCAAUUAAAUUGUAUGUAACAAUUUAAACUUUUCGAUUUGAUUAUCCUCCAAUGUUAUUAAUUUAAACAAUAUUUAGAUUUGAGGGUUCACUAAUAUUAUAAAAUUUAAUCAAGUUUACUUUAUAUAGCUUCUCUCUCACGGUGACAGUUUAAUUUCUUGACAUGAAAAGGUGGUGGAAGAUGACAGGACUUGGAGAAAAGUUGGAUUUUGUCAGGGACAGGCCAAUGGUGUAUUUCUUAAUUCACUUAUAACAACAGUUGAUGAUGUUUAUGAUGUCCAUGGUACCUUAGAUGAGCUUGAGCUAUUCACAGAUGUCAUUGUAAGGUUUGUGCAGCACCUAAGUCUUGGGCUAUAGGGCACAUUUAUAAUUAAUGCUAUAUUAUUAUUAUUUUUUUUUACUUUUUUAUGUUCAAAUUUCAGAUGGGACGUUAAUUUCAUGGAUCAUCUUCCAGACUAUAUGAAAUUAUGUUUUUUCGUAUUGUUCAAUUUGAUAAACGAAAUUGCUUACGAUAUUCUAAGAGACCAAGGAGUUGACAGCCUCCCUUUCUUGAAGAAAGCGGUAUUUGUUUUUUUUUUCUUUUUUAAUUUUAGUGAUAUUUUUAAAAUAUUUUAUUUUUUUUUCUUUUUUAAUUUUAGUUAUAUUUUUAAAAUAUUUUAUCUCAAUUUUAGCCUUUUUUUUAAAAAAAAAUGGAAUAUAAGAUUAUCUUUGAUGCAAUACAAAGUGAAAAGAUAGAAUUAGAGUUUGUUAAGUUUUAAGGUUACAUCUCCUAACUAUAAUCUAAAAUUAUAGAUGUUUAAUUGUUAGACUAGUUGCUUGGCAUGUCUGAACUAUUUUUUGAGUUUUGUCAUGUCUAUAUGAUCCAUAAGUACAUCUGUCCUAAUUAAGGAUUUAAUUCUUUUCUUCUAAAUUGUUUUGUACUUGUAAAUAUUUAUCAAGCUGAUUUAUUUAUGUGCCAUUCUUAAUUUUCAGUGGGCAGAUUUAAGUAAAUCAUAUUUGUUGGAGGCUAAGUGGUACUACAGUGGAUAUACACCAACGCAUGGAUUUCAAUUGCAACAUCAUUGGCUAUUGUUCAUACAUAUUUUUAUGCUUCGAAUCCAACAACAGAGGAGGCCUCACAUUUCAUGGAGGAAUACCCAGAUAUAAUUCGAUGGUCAUCCAUUAUUUUACGCCUUGCUGAUGAUCUUGGAACCUCCUCGGUAUGCUAGACUUCUCCCACUCCGAGACAUAGUUUCGUCCUUCCUUAUUUAUUUUGGUGGAGAUAAUGGUUAUUUGUUUUUAGUUUUUUAAGAAUAUAAGCUAAUUUUCUAUUUCUCAUUUACAGGAUGAAAUAAAAAGAGGAGAUGUUUCCAAAUCAAUCCAAUGUUACAUGCACGAAACUCAAGCUUCUGAAGAAGAAGCUCGUGAUCAUAUAAAGAAAUUAAUCAGCAAUGCAUGGAAAAAAUUAAAUGCUUCUCAAUUUUCUAAUCCCCAUAUCUCUCAAACUAUCAUUGGUGUUGCAGUCAACCUUCCACGAACGGCACAAUGCAUUUACCAAUAUGGAGAUGGGCAUGCUAUUGAACAUCUUGAGACCAAGGAUCGGGUGAUGUCCUUACUUAUUAAGCCUUUAUAAUUUCAUAAAAAAAGUCAUACAAGGUAAUGUGCAAGUUGGACGCCACGAGGGAAGCAAGCCUAAACUCCAAAUCGCAAGUCUAUGAUGAAAAUUGUUAAAACUCCAACUGAUAAUAAUCUAAAUACUGUAAAGUCUUAAUAAUAUUAGAAUUCUUACGAAUUUUAAAUUUUAUAAAUUUAAAUCCUAAUUAAUAUAGAAAUUCAACAAUCCUGACAUAAUGAUAACAAAUAUGGGUGACUUUAACUCAUGUACUUUGAAUUAAAAUAUCCAUUUGAAAUAUUUAAAUGUACUUUGAGGCUUCACACAGAGGAUACAUAGUAAUGGGAAACUGACUGAAAUGGUAAAUACACUUUCAAAUCUUGCAACAUCAUCAUUGAUUAAAUUAAGUGCCCUAAUAUAUGAAUUCACAUGGUUCUCAUGGCUGUCACUUUGUCACACCUGAACAUCACAAUUACUAUUUUUUUUUUUUAACAAUGAUCGUGAUGCCCGGGUAUGACAAAGUAUCCCUUACCUGCAAGUAAAACCUUUUUUCAACUUAAAAUUUUCAAAUUUUAAACAAAGAAUUCAUCUUUUUAUAGAGUAAAAUUCCUUUUUUUUUUGGAUUAAGCAUAUAGUUUCCAAAACUUUAAUAAUUGUUUAAUAAUUAGUUAAGUUAUAACUAACUCUUUUUUUUAUAUAUAAAGCAAUCAUUUUAAAAUCUAAUUAAUAAGACAGUUGGUUCUUACUGAAUAUUUCACUGCAGGAAUUCGAGUCAUACAGUCGACAAGUAGAAGUGUUGAAGGAAAAUGUGAAGGACAUGCUGACGGCAUCCAAAAAGGAUACAGUGGAACAUAUUGAAUUCAUUAAUCAGUUAUGUCGGCUUGGUGUGUCAUAUCAUUUUGACGAUGAGAUUGAAAACAGCCUUAAAGAGAUUUUUGAUGAUAUUCCUGAUCUUCCAAAAAGGAUACACUGUAUCACUUCUAUUUCGAGUAUUGAGACAGCAUGGAUUCAAAAUGCCUUGUGGUGAGCGCAUACUUCCAGUACUUUAUAACCUUUCAAACCUUAAUUAACAUCUCCAAAAUUAAUUCUUUGACACUAUGAGAGCAUUAAUUAAUUCCAGAGGAAAAAUUAAAUCUUAACAUCUCAAAAAUUAAUUCUUGGACAGUACUUUAAACUCUGCUAAAUCUUUCUUUCAUUGACAAGAAGUAAUCUAUGGUCAAAUUAAGAUUAUUAAAAAAAUGACUAGAACAGUAAAAUUAUUCUUUCAUGAAUCAGUUGUGUUUGACAAGUUCAAGGACACCAAUGGAGAGUUUAAGAAAACAAUCAUCAACGAUGUUAAAGGCAUCCAGGGCUUGUAUGAAGCUUCAUUUUUAAGUGUGCAUGGAGAACAGGUACUGGAUGAAGCCCUUGUGUCACGGGGUUAAAUUUUCCGCAAUGAAAUUCAACCCAAUGCGGCAGUCUAGUCCCAACUAGACUAAGCCUUGCCUCACCCUUUCGCUCGUGUUUCCUACGACUAUGUGUUUCGCUCACCAAGAGAGGUUCUCACAGUAACUUCGUCGUCAACAAGGAAACCAACACAAGCAAGCACACCGAGGAUACAAGAAUCCCUCUCAACCUUUAUUUAUCUCAUCAACAAAGGAUUACACAACAAGAGUGUGUGUGCUAUGCACAUAAAUCGCAUGCUCCACAACAGAGGCUUGGCAGCCUAUUUAUAGACAGAUAUGAGCUGCAGGCUCCCCCCCAUUAUCCCCCAUUUUCGGGACCUAGUGGAGCACUUCCUCUAACCCAUGAUCCCAUGUUUUCAGGACAUAGUGGAGCACUACCUCUCACCCAUGAUCCCAUGUUUCCAGGACUUAGUGGCAUGGAGAGCACCCCAGUUAUGCUCCCACGUUUUGCCUCCCAUGAAGCUGCCACUUCCCCAUUUCCUGGCUGUCUACUUGGCAGCCCCCACUGCCAGAUUCUGCUGCGUCAGCUGCUGACUUAGAAGGUCCAUUAUCUAAGCCCCACGUCCAUGCCAAGUCGCCAGCUCAAAGACUUGCACAGACCCUUGCACGCUGCCUGCCGAAUUCGUUUCUGCCGCAGUCCAUCGCUGCCGAAUUCUAGGCAAUGUGCCUUCGUUGGCGCGCCCCGCGCCUAGACCUCUAACAAACCACCCCCACUAGAAGAGUCUGACGUCCUCGUCGGAAUAGACGUGAGGUAGUCUUGUAUUUGGUCUUCAAAUUGCCAUAAAUCUGUAUCCUUUUCCCACGAAACCUCCUCAUUUUUCUUCCAUUUUAUCAAGAAUUCUGUCCGCCGAUUCUUUCGAUGUUGGCCGAGUCUACGAUGAUCCAUAAUCUUGACAAUACUAUCGUCAAAUUGUUUAUGAAUCGUAGGAGGAGCUCGUUGCGACUUACUUCUUUUCGGAUCCUCGUGAUCUUCAUAGAAAGGCCGCAAGUAACUUACGUGAAAAGUAGGAUGAACUUCAACCGUUCGGGCAGCUUCAAUCUGUAUGCGACAGCACCUACCUUUUCAAUGAUCUCAAAAGGUCCGUCAUACCUUGGCACCAACCCUCGGUGCUUCGUCGUCCCCACAAUUUUCUUCCAAAUUUGCGGAGUUAACUUGAGUAACACCUUGUCACCCACACUGAAUUCCAGCAAUCUUCGCUUUUGAUUGGCAUAUUUGAGCAUCCUUUUCCUUGCCUUGCGCAAGCUAUCUUGCGCUUGCUCAAAUAGCUCCUGCCGCUCCAUCGCAAACUUGUAUGCUGCUGGACUCUUCCCACCCGAUAUCUGCACUGCAAUCUCCGCAGGAGUUUGGGGUUGGGCUCCCAAAACCAGCUCAAACGGACUUGCUUCCGUUGCCGAGGAUUUUUGAAGAUUAUAGCAAAACUGCGCACUAUCCAGCAACUCCAGCCAGUUUCGCUGCGUCGCUGUCACGUAGUGUCUCAAAUAUUCCUCCAACAAAGCAUUUAUCCUUUCCGUCUGCCCAUCAGUUUGCGGGUGAUUGGCAGUGGAAAACUUCAGCCUUGUUCCCAUCAUGUUGAACAAUGCUGUCCAGAAUCUGCCCGUGAAUCGCACAUCACGAUCACUUACAAUGUCAGAAGGUACUCCAAAGUACUUCACCACGUUGCGGUAGAAUAAUUAUGCGGCCACUUCGGCUGUACACACCGUCGGGGCAGCAACAAACACCGCAUACUUAGUGAAUCUGUCCACAACAACCAUGAUUGUGUUCAUGCCAUCCACCUUUGGAAAACCAACAAUGAAAUCCAUUGAGACCGACACCCAAGGCCUUUCUGGAAUCGGCAGCGGCUGUAACAAGCCUGCCUCACGCUGCCGUAAAGUCUUGUCUUGUUGGCAUACUAGACAAGUCCUGACAUAGAGUUCUACGUCCUCCUCCAUCUUCGGCCAAUAAUAAGUCUGUGACAGGAGAGCAACCAUCCUUUCUCUACCUGGAUGUCCAGCCCAUUGCGGAUCAUGAGUCUCCAUCAAUAAAUGUUUCCGCAGCUCUCCCUUUGGCACGAAGAUUCGACCCCCCUUUGCAUAGAGUAGGUCUUGUUCCAGCCAAUACCUCCGUAUUGUCCCUUCUUGUACAAGCUCAACCAGUUUCUUGUACGCUGCGUCUUCCCCCGCAGCUUGACGAAGUCGACACAGCAUGUCCGACUCCACCUGAACAAUAGCAAGAACAGUAGCAAUUACCUCGCGUCUGCUAAGUGCAUCCGCAACCUGAUUGUGGCUUCCCGGUUUGUGCUUCCAUACAAAAUCAUAUUCGGCCAAGAAUUCCUGCCACCGAGCUUGUCGCUACGACAAUUUCUUCUGCGUCCAGAAGAAUGUGUUGGCAACAUUGUCAGUCUUGACAACGAAUUUCGGCCCCAACAGAUAUACUCUCCAUAUGCCAAGGCAGUGCACUACUGCCGUCAUUUCUUUCUCAUGCGUUGAGUAAUUCUGUUCCGCGUCAUUUAGCUUCCGACUCUCGAAAGCAACCGGAUGUCCCUCUUGUACCAGCACCCCACCAAUAGCCCUAUCUGAAGCAUCAGUAUGCACUUCAAAAGGCUUCUCAAAAUCAGGCAGCCCCAAGACUGGAGCUGACGCUACCGCUGUCUUCAGCUUCUCAAAAGCUUGCUGGCAGUCAACCGUCCAUUCCCAUCUCCGACUCUUCUUGAGAAGAUCCGAGAGAGGAGUUGUCUUCUUGCUAUAACCCUCAAUGAAUCGUCUGUAGUAGUUUGCAAGCCCCAAAAAUGACCUCAAUUCCGGGACUGAUUUUGGUGCUGACCAUUCAACGAUGGCUUGAAUCUUCCGUGGAUCCAUCUUCACCUGUCCUUCUCCAAUCAAGUGGCCUAAGAACAUAAUUUCAGCUUUUGCAAACUCACACUUUUCUCUCUUUACAUACAAUUCAUAUUCUCUCAAUCUACUUAGGACUUUAGAGAGAUGAGUUACAUGAUCUUCAAUGCCUCUACUAUAGAUUACAAUGUCAUCUAAGUAGACUACCACAAAAUUGUCUAAGAAAUCAUAUAACACGUCAUUCAUUAGAUUACAAAAUGUUGCUGGAGCAUUUGUUAGGCCAAAUGGCAUAACUAGAAACUCAUAGGAGCCAUACCUUGUCACACAAGUAGUUUUAUGCUCAUCACCGUCAGCAACCCGCACUUGCCAAUACCCCGAUCGCAAGUCCAAUUUCGUAAAGAUUGAGGCUCCACACAAUCUGUCCAUCAAAUCCUGAAUUAAAGGAACAGGAUAUUUGUUUUUGAUUGUUACCUUGUUUAGCGCUCGGUAGUCCACACACAUGCGAAGGCUUCCAUCCGCCUUCUUUUGAAACAAAACCGGAGCACCAUACGGAGCCUUGGAAGGCCGGACAAACCCUGAGUCAAUCAGCUCUUCCAAUUGUUUCCUCAAUUCUGCCAAUUCCCUUGGCGACAUUCGAUAAGGGGCUUGAGAUGGUGGCUUUGCCCCUGGCACCAGCUCAAUUCGAUGGUCGAUGGCCCUCCUGGGCGGGAGUUUCUUUGGUAGCUGAGGCGGCAUCACGUCUUCGAAUUGCUGCAGCACGCUAGCAAUUUCUUUCGGCACCUCACCACAAUAGUCGGCCUUCUCGUCAACUAUUGUCGCCAGAAACACUUCCCCUCCUUUCCGCAAUGCUUUAUCAAUAGCAAUUGCCGAGACCAAGCUUUUUCCCCCUUUCACAACAUUCGCAGCUGCGACAUUACAGCUGUUGCUACCCAAUUUUUGACCCAUGUUUUGAUAAAUUUUCAGAAAAAUCCAAAAACAACGAAAAACAUUGAAAAUCCAAAAAAUACAUUUUUAAUACAUUUGCAUCAUUUUUAGCAUUUUUCAGCGUCGUCUAAAAAGAAUUUAAAUUUUCCAAGGUCUUUCGAAUGCGUUCAAUUUUUAACGCGUUAAUUUUAAAAUCAUUGAUUUUUCUUAUUGAGUCGACGUUGAUAUUGCUCGCUUUCAAAAAUACAAAAAAAUAAAAAAAAUCAAAAUUUACAAAAAAAAGAGGAAAAGAGAAGGAAAGGAAAAGUUGAGGGACUAGUUUGAAAACAUAGCAAAACUUUUCCUAUAAAUAUCAUGCUACACUGAAUUUUUAAGGGGGGGGGCAAUUUGGCAAUUAAAGGGGGCAACAAAAAGAGAAACCCUAAAAAGCUUAUUAGUUUUUCUUCUCCCUCACCCGGAGCCGCCACCCCCCAUCCGGAUCAGAUUUUUAUCUUCUUCUCCCUCACAAGGCUGCCCCCUCCCUUGGCCAAAAAGAAGGAGAACCAAAGCCACAGGGACUUCCCUUCUGCCUCUCUCCAUCUCACUAUCUUCUCCCUCAACCGGCCCCUCAGCCCCCACACACCCAUCUCCUUCUCACAGCAGCCGACCACCACAUCCGAAGACCAGCCUCUUCCUCUUCCCCCACAAACCAGCCACCCCAAGACUCGACACCGCCUGACCUUCCCUUCUCCUCCGGCCGUUGCUCUCCCUCUCAGCCAAGACAGACCGAGCAGCCCCCCCACAAACCAAGCCACCGCAGCUCUCCUUUUCCUUCCUUCUCCCACAGCAGCCGUCGCCUGGCCAGCCCCCAUCCCCCGUUUUGGAUUUUUUCUCUUCUCCCUCAACCGGACAGCCGAUCUUCCCGACCCUCACAAAUCAGCCUCACCGAACCCCACUGACCAGACGAUUUUUCCUCCUCCCUUGCCCUCUGCCAAACACAAACCAGGCCACACCCUUUUUCUCCUUCACCGCAGCUUCAACAGCCCCAGCUCGCCAAGAUCGAGCCGGCCGCCCCCUCACCAGACCUUUGCUCCCCCAACCUUUUCCCUUUGGCUGCUCCUUCUCCCUUAAACCAGCCACUCGAAGAUCCCACUCAAUCGUCCCUCUCCACCGCCAGAAGUCCUCUGCCUGCCUCAACGUCGGCCACAGGAGAAAGAGAGGAGAAAUGAGCCGAAGCUUGAGGUGGUCUCUUCACCUUGCUUAAUCCUCUGCCUGCCUCACCGCCAGCCGAAAGAAGAAAGAAGGGUCGGCGAUCUACCCGAUCCAGUGGGUAACCGACCGCACGAGUCGCCGGUGAGCCACUCAACACUCCCCAACAGAUCUGCUAGCCGAGGAAGAAGGAGAGAGAAGCAGAUCUAAACAGAUCUAAGGAGAGAAUCGACUGUGUUGUUGCGUUUUUGUGUGUUUUGCAGGUGAAGGUGAUCUUCACCGCCGACGAGGAAAAGAAGAGGGGAAGAAGUCGAUCCAGACCCCUGCUGCUUUUUUGUUUCUUGCGGCGGCGCGUGAACCCACGCGCCGCCAGUGACGGUGGCGCGUGGAGAAGACGCGCCACCAUGAGUUCUGGCAGUUCCAGAGGGUCCUCAAUGCAAUUUCGGGAGUUUUAGGGACUGUUUUUGUAAAUUUUAAAUUAUGUAAUGUAAUUUUUGUUUAGUGUUGAAUUUUUUUAAUUUGUAAUGUGGAUGUAACAAAAAAAAAGAAAGAAAAAGAAAAGAAAAGAAAAAAUAUAGUGAAAGUGUAUGUGUGUUUGUAUUUUUUUUAUGUAUGUUAUUGAGAUAAAAAAUGAAUUUAAUAUUUUAAUUUAUAUGCUCAAAUAUCUAAAGGACAGAUAAAAAUCAUGUAUUUUCCAUAAAAAUGUAGAACAUGUAUCUACAUAUAUUUUGGGAACUAAUAACUGAUUUAUCGAAGCCUUAGAAUUGGGCUAAAAUUUUUAUUUUUAAAAACACAUCAAGUCCACGAAGCAGCUUACCUCAGGUAGGGUGCGUUAGGGGUGCUAAUACCUUCCCUAACCACAACCAGUCCCUUACCUAUGAAUCUCUGACAAGAUCAGUACAUUCGGUUUCCUAGUAGCCCGCAAUCAAUUACUAGGUGGCGACUCCAACGAACCAAUCAAAUCAAAUCAAACAUAACAAAUGAAAAAAUCGCCAGCCGAUGCCGCGCUGAUUUUUUGACGUGCGACAGAAUGGCGACUCCACUGGGGAAGGUAUUGUUUUCAACACUAUUGGACUAAGCUUUGUGUUUUUGAUGCGUUUAUGUUUUUACAAUUUUGUCCUAUUUUAUUUUUUGUUUUAUCCAUGCAUUGUAUAGAAUUGUCUCAUGCAUCACAUGUUUUAAUUUUUUAAAGCACACACAAGCUUCAGGUUAGGAGGGGGACUAGCAGCUUACCUUAUGACUUUUAGUCAAGGUUUAAGUUUGUGUAAACCCCAACUCUUCGUUGAGUGCUUAGACUGGUAAUAGUUGGACAUGUGCCAUCUCAUUGCCUACAAGCCCCCAUAUUGCCUCCACGAGGGCAAUCACUGGGACAACAAGAGACCCUUUUUAGAGACCAAGUAGUAAACCUACCUUUUGUCUCACUUAAAAAGAUUAGAACCUGCCUUUAUGAUAUGUGCUCCGUAUAUAUUGUUUUGCAUCAAGGCAAACCCUUCUUGAAGCAUCUUGAACUCAAGACUUUUGGGUGACCCAAUGGCCGUCACUCAGGAAAUUUUCAUUGUAGAGUUUGGGCAAGAAUCAAGAUUCUUGUUUCAUCAUACAAGAGUUACGACCAUAUGUCACCCCUCGAAAGGCGAGUUCUUCAUAUAGUUUACAUGUUCAUACAUCUAUCAUGCAUGUACCGGGAGGAAAAAUAGGUUCCCCUGUCCGAGGUUUACUACACUGGAUGGAAAAGGAUGGAUAAUAAAGAAAAGGGUCAGAGAGAAGCACAAAAUCAAAGGAAAGUUGAGAGCAUCAAAGGUGAAGUAGCUAGGCUCAGAUCUGCCUGAACAAGUGUUGAGCAUCAAAUGGAAAGAGAAUGUCUGCACAAUCUUCUGUGGAAACACUGCUUGUCCACGUCCAAGUGAAGCUGCACCUCUCCAUUUCAGUCCUGAACAACAAUAGCAAUGCCUUCAGUCAUCAGCUAAUGACAACUUUUGUUUUUGGUCAGCUGCCCUGUUAAUUGUUCAUCGCCUCCACAUCUUUCAAUGGUACCAAAUAACUGCUAGCCUUCUGUGCAUGGUGUAUUAGCCUUCUUUGACGUUAUCCCAACUGUUAGUUCAAUUCCAGUUCAGCAGCACAAGAUGUAAAAAAAAAAAAAAAACAAAAAAAAAACCUCGAAAAAAAAAAAAAAAAAAAAAACUGAAAAAAAACCAUGAUUAGACACUGAACUUCUACGUUGCAGAGCUCUCUCUGUAGAGAUUCGUUUGUGGCUCUGCAAGUGGGGAAUGCAAGAGGGAAUGUAGUAUUUUCAUAUGCUACAAAACUUUGCCCCAUCAAUUUCAGAACCGAAACACUGGAGUAGGCAGAAGGGUCACACCUGGUCUGAAAACAUGAGCCGUCAUUAAACUUCAACGCGGCAGAGCUCUCUCUACAAAAAUCUGUUUGUGGCUCUGCAAGUGGGGAAUGCAAGAGGGGAUGCAGUACUUUCAUAUGCUACAAAACUUUGGCUCAUCAGUUUCAGCACUGAAACACUGGAGUAGGCCGAAGAGUCAGACCUAGUCUGAAAACAUGAGCAGUCGUCGAACUUUGACGUGGCAGAGCUCUCUCUACAAAAACCUGUUUAUGGCUCUGCAAGUGGGGAAUUCAAGAGGGGAUGUAGUAGUUCUAGACAAUGUGAAAAGUUACCCCACCAGCUUCAGCAUCGAAACACUGUAGUAGGCAGAAAAGCCAGACUUGAGCUAGAAAACAGGAGCAAAUAUAGAACUUCACCGUGGCAGAGCUCUCUCUGCAGAAACCUGUUUGUAGAUCUGCAAGUGGAGAAUCCAAGAAGGGAUGCAGUAGUUUCUGAUCAUCUAUAAUUUUCUCUCAUCGGUGUUAGCUUGAAAAUGCAAAAGAAGGGAAAAGAGACGGCUGAAAAAUAGAAAGAAGAUUGAAACUUCAACAGAGCAGAGCUCCCUCUACAGGUGUCUGUUUGCUGCACCAUCAGUGAGGAAUCAAAGAGCAGACAAAGGAGUUUUAGAUUCAUCAAGUUCUCUUCCAGUUUUGACAAUGUGUGAUUCCACACGUCGGCAGUGGCAAUGCUGCAAGUCUCCGGGUGCUGCCAAGAUUACCUAGCUACUGGAAGGUUUCCAACAAUCCACAAACGACCACAACAACAUUGAAAGAAUGACAUGAUGUUGUGAAGAUCAUCGAAAGAAUUAAGCUAGCUAUGAAGAUGAGAAGGAUUGAAGGUUCUGUCAAGAAUUCCAGAACAAUGAUGAGAGAUGAAUCAGGAGAUGACUCUGAAGAUGAGAAACCAUAGUUACUUGGUUUAGUCAAGUCUCACUGUAGCACCAGCUACUCAAGUGUCUUUGCCAAGAUUGACAUCUUUCUGCCACCCAAGUUGGACUACUAGCAUCUGUCAGAUUCCAGACUUUUUGCCUGACUCUGUUAAAUCCCAUGCAACCACUGUUUCUUAUGUGAUAUAAUCCAAACAGGAGAUUUGAAUAUCAUGGGGGGAUUUCAGGCCAUUCAGUUGAAUAAUUGCAAGAAUCGAGUCCGCAAAUUGGUGAGCAAAAGACGAGAGGAAUCUGUGAAGGAGCUUGUCAUUGAUCAUUUUGUCGCCAGAACAUCCUCAGAAUGACGAGUGAUCGAAAUUGCUCGGUAAACACAGAUAUUGCCAGAAUAGUUGAUCCAAGAAGGGCGUUGAACUGUCAAUCAUGUUGUUAUGGAAUUUUUGCCAUUCUGCAUUUUGUUUUGGGGUCACAUCUCAUCCUUGAACGAAACAUGUCUUUUCUUUGUCUUUUUGUUGUUUUGAAAUCAAGAGAUGCUUCUUUCAAAGGGUAUUUUGACAAAAAUAUUUUUUUGAUCAAACUCCAACAUACAAAAUUAAAGCUAGUCAAUCCUGAAGAUUAAAAGUGUUUUGAUUGCGGAAAUGACUUUAUGCUUGAAAAUGACAUGAGGUGACCAAACAAUUUUGAACUCAUAUCUCCUGAAACUGAACAACACAUCAUAUAACUAAGUUUUAGCAGUAUGCAUAAUGACAUGUAGUGGAUUCGGUAGUUAUGGACUCGUGAAUCAUGACUCUUACAAGUCCAAAUCAUUACACUGGAUGAGGUCAAAAUUUAUCGAUUCUAACCGACCUUGCUUGAAAUGAGAAAAGGCCAUCUUUGUUAUCCUUUCACAUUUCUUGAAAUAUUAUCCCUUGCAGUCCCAUUUUGAGCCUGGUAAAAUAUUUUCUUUCAAGAAAACCCUGACUAGGAUCACACCCUACACCGGGGCAAAUGAGAGAUAUUUUGAAGACACUGAUAGGAUUGAUGAAUAAAAGAAAAGACUUAGAACAAAAGCCCAAUGAUUGAGAAAGGGCUAGAACAAAAAAGUCAUAGAGUGAAGGGCAUCCAAGAAAACUUUGAGAAAGGCUAUGUAAAAGUAAAAAAAAAAAGUGGAAAUGAAGGAGAAUGCCUAUCAAUUCUAAGAGGGGCAAAAGAGGUUUCAAUGGAAGAAAGACACAACAAAUGCCAAAAGUCAACACCAAAAAAAUCAAGUUUCAUGUCUUUUGGUGUGUCUAGGAUAAAGCCUUUAGUGUCUUCAAAAAAAUUUUAGAUUCAUUAUUCAUCAGAGAAAAAGUUGGAUUAGCAUUAUGACCUAUGUUAAGAGAAUUCUGAUCUUUGAGAUUAACAGGGUUAUAUGUCACUUUCUCCACAACGACAACGAGAAAGAGAGUUGAUGAAUAGUUGAUGUUGAUCCUAGGUCGUUGAAACCCUCAAACACCUUUUGAGCCUGUGAAUUUCCCUUCUUUCAUAAGCCAUGAACCAUAGCCUGUAUUACGUGCUUUUAAAAGCCCUUUUUAAUCAAGUAAGCAAUCUGAACCGAUAAAUGGCGCUUCAAAACUUGAAGAGCUUUUCCAUAAGAGUCAUAGCUUCAUGGAUUAAGCUACUGGUUAUUAUGCAUGCUGACAAAAUUGGUAAAAAAAAAAAACAAUCUUUCUUGAUGAAUCCUCAAGUUUUGACUUGAGUCUUUUGUUUUUUGAAAUUCACAUAAAGGUCACCUCAUCACAAACCAUCAAAAGAUAUACCCCAAAAUCAAAGUCUAAAAUGGAUACAAAGAACCAUGAAAAAAGUCAUUUUAAACUUACAAUGGGUCAUUUCUGUUUUCAAAAUACAAGACAAUCAAAGGACUAUAUUGAAUAGUGUGUGUUGGGUCUUUGACAAAAAAGCUUGAUUUUCAAAAGAUCUUUUCCAAAACUGAUAUCUCUUUGAUUUCAUUUCAACAAUUAGACUUGAAUUGACAUGAUCUUUGAAAUAUGAGAUUUGAUUCCAGAACAAGAAAGAUUGUCGAACAAUGAAGAACAUCGAGUGAGUCUGCGAAAUAUUUGACAUGAAAUGACAUCAACUCUUCUCAAUACUCCUUGAAAAAUUGAGACACCUGGAGGCAAUACAAUGGAUCAUGGGUAUGAAAACAAACAGUAUUCAGAUCAACUAGGGGCAAUGAAAGAUGAUCAAAUGAUGAAUCAAUGCACUGAGGACAACGGUGUUUAAAGAAAUGCUAAUCAGCAGAACAAGCAUUCAGAUCAUUAUUGGGGGCAAUGUUGUUCAAAAACAUUCCAUGAUCUAGUGAACUCUAGCAGCAAUUGAAAACAACACUGCAAUUAAGGGACAACCUCGUAUCUUCAUCUUGGGGUUACCCUUUGAAACAUGGCUAUGAAAAAUGUUAUCGCAUCGUUGCAUUGGAAUGAAUGUCAGAAAGAUGCACACCACCAAGAUUGACUGUGGGACCAUCUAUUCUGAAGCUCAAAUGUGCACUUCACCGUAUGAAUAUGGGUGAUAACAUGAACAUCAUUGAUGAUGUCGAGACAUUUCUUUCCACUAUCUGAUUUGACGAGCUGAGAGGAAUCCAUGAGAAAGAACAUUGAGCAUACAACGAUGAGUCUUUCACUGCAAGCUAUGAGAUGCAUGUCUGGACGACUGGAUGAUUUCCAUGAAGACUGAUGAUAACAUAUACUUGAAGAGUAUUGUUUCAACUUGAGGAAAGUUUAUGACUGAUUAACAAUCUUGAUGGGUGUUGGCAUGAUGCACACAACCAAUCGAAAGAUAAUUUUCAGAAGAAUCUAGGAGAGAAAAUCCUGCAUGAUGAAUCAAGCAACACCGCACUUGGGGGCAGAGUCAAGCUUGAUAAACCACAAGAGCAGUAACCGUCGAAGACAGCCCAGGAUGUGCACUGCACUUACAACUGAGUGGAUGGCUAGCACAUGAAUGAGCCAAUGCAUCGAAAGAACCAAUAAAGCUUUGGAAUGCAAACAAAGGCACCCUGUGAUGAUGGAACAUCGAAGAGGGGGGACCUAUAUUUCGAAUCAGGUAAGGAGGCAUGCAUGUCAGCUAACGUUAAAACAUUGUACAUAUUUUUUAUUUUGUUGCAGGAAAAAUCCUCAAUGUAGUUUAGCAAGAUUGGGGACCAAAAAAAAAGAGAAAAAAAAAAGAAGAAUCAUUGAGCUGAUAAUAACAGAGAAUCAUGGUUAUGACCUUGGAACGGGAAGAAGAUGAGAUAAGCCUUACUGUUAGGAAAAUCUCAAAGAAAUGAAAAGAUCAACCUUGCAAUCAGGAAGCAUCGAUUUUUCAAACCCUGCGAUCAAGAAUUAUCAAGAAGCACCAAGUUUUCCGGCCCUUCUUCUAUCAUCCCUUCAGGACUUCGCCAGGUAAGUCCCAUUUUUCACACUUGUCACAUCACAUCUUUCAUUUGGGUAGGUCACCCAUAACAAUGAGACCAUUUCACAUUUUUUCUAUCCUCCACAUGGGUAGGUCACCCAUAAUAAUGAGACCGCUUCAUAUUUUUCUCAUCUUCCAUCUGGGUAGGUCACCCAUUACAAUGAGACUGCUUCAUAUUUUUUCUAUCCUCCACCUGGGUAGGUCACCCAUAACAAUGACACCACUUCACAUUUUUUCUAUCUUCCAUCUGGGUAGGUCACCCAUUAUAAUGAGACCGCACUUCACAUUCUUUCCGUUUGGGUAGGUCACCCAUCAUAAUGAGACCGUUUUCCACAUUAUUUUUCUUGGGUAGGUCACCCAUACAAUGAGACCAUCAUUUUUCUUGGGUUCGUCACCCAUACAAUGAGACCAUCAUUUUUCUUGGGUUCGUCACCCAUACAAUGAGACCAUCAUUUUUUCUUGGGUUAGUCACCCAUACAAUGAGACCAUCAUUUUUCUUGGGUUCGUCACCCAUACAAUGAGACCAUCAUUUUUCUUGUGUUCGUCACCCAUACAAUGAGACCAUCAUUUUUCUUGGGUUCGUCACCCAUACAAUGAGACCAUCAUUUUUCUUAGGUUCGUCACCCAUUACAAUGAGACCAUUUGUUCCACAUUCUUUGUUUUGGUUUAAUGAGGUCGCCAGAUGGGAUCUCAUGUAGCUUUGGUUAAAGGGAAUCGCCAGAUGGGAUUUCAGGUUAACCGAGUUACGUAACAUCUUUUAGUUUUGGUUUAAUGAGGUCGCCAGAUGGGAUAUCAUGUAGCUUUGGUUAAAGGGAAUCGCCAGAUGGGAUUUCAGGUUGACCGAGCUACCACACAUUUUUUAGUUCCAGUUGAAUGAGGUUGCCAGAUGGAAUCUCAUGUAGCUUUGGUUAAAGGGAAUCGCCAGAUGGGAUUUCAGGUUGACCGAGCUAUCACACAUUUUUUUAAGUUCAAGUUGAAUGAGGUCACCAGAUGGGAUCUCAUGUAGCUUUGGUUAAAGGGAAUCGCCAGAUGGGAUUUCAGGUUGACCGAGCUACACACAUUUUUUAGUUCCAGUUGAAUGAGGUUGCCAGAUGGAAUCUCAUGUAGCUUUGGUUAAAGGGAAUCGCCAGAUGGGAUUUCAUGUUGACCGAGCUACCACACAUUUUUUUAAGUUCCAGUUGAAUGAGGUCGCCAGAUGGGAUCUCAUGUAGCUUUGGUUAAAGGGAAUCGCCAGAUGGGAUUUCAGGUUGACCGAGCUACCACAUUUUUUAGUUCCAAUUUAAUGAGGUCGCCAGAUGGGAUCUCAUGUAGCUUUGGUUAAAGGGAAUCGCCAGAUGGGAUUUCAGGUUGACCGAGCUACCACAUUUUUUAGUUCCAAUUUAAUGAGGUCGCCAGAUGGGAUCUCAUGUAGCUUUGGUUAAAGGGAAUCGCCAGAUGGGAUUUCAGGUUGACCGAGCUACACACAUUUUUUUAGUUCUGGUUAAAGGGGAUCGCCAGACGGGAUCUCAGGUUAGCCCAACCACACAGAUUUUUGUUUUUGGUUCAAGGAGAUCGCCUGAUGGGAUCUCAGGUUAAAAAAAAAAAAAAAAAAAAGGGGAAAGAAAAUGAAAAAGAGAUAAAGAAGGAAAGGAGAAGGAAAAAAGAAAGAAACAUUUAGAGUUUUUCUUUACAAAGCUUACUAUGCGAAACAUUGAGGAGUUUUGCUUCGUAAGCAUUGUAAAGAGGGGGCAUCUGUUGCUACCCAAUUUUUGACCCAUGUUUUGAUAAAUUUUCAGAAAAAUCCAAAAACAACGAAAAACAUUGAAAAUCCAAAAAAUACAUUUUUAAUACAUUUGCAUCAUUUUUAGCAUUUUUCAGCGUCGUCUAAAAAGAAUUUAAAUUUUCCAAGGUCUUUCGAACGCGUUCAAUUUUUAACGCGUUAAUUUUAAAAUCAUUGAUUUUCCUUAUUGAGUCGACGUUGAUAUUGCUCGCUUUCAAAAAUACAAAAAAAUAAGAAAAAUCAAAAUUUACAAAAAAAAGAGGAAAAGAGAAGGAAAGGAAAAGUUGAGGGACUAGUUUGAAAACAUAGCAAAACGUUUCCUAUAAAUAUCAUGCUACACUGAAUUUUUAAGGGGGGGCAAUUUGGCAAUUAAAGGGGGCAACAAAAAGAGAAACCCUAAAAAGCUUAUUAGUUUUUCUUCUCCCUCACCCGGAGCCGCCACCCCCCAUCCGGAUCAGAUUUUUAUCUUCUUCUCCCUCACAAGGCUGCCCCCUCCCUUGGCCAAAAAGAAGGAGAACCAAAGCCACAGGGACUUCCCUUCUGCCUCUCUCCAUCUCACUGUCUUCUCCCUCAACCGGCCCCUCAGCCCCCACACACCCAUCUCCUUCUCACAGCAGCCGACCACCACAUCCGAAGACCAGCCUCUUCCUCUUCCCCCACAAACCAGCCACCCUAAGACUCGACACCGCCUGACCUUCCCUUCUCCUCCGGCCGUUGCUCUCCCUCUCAGCCAAGACAGACCGAGCAGCCCCCCCCACAAACCAAGCCACCACAGCUCUCCUUGUCCUUCCUUCUCCCACAGCAGCCGUCGCCUGGCCAUCCCCCAUCCCCCGUUUUGGAUUUUUUCUCUUCUCCCUCAACCGGACAGCCGAUCUUCCCGACCCUCACAAAUCAGCCUCACCGAACCCCACUGACCAGACGAUUUUUCCUCCUCCCUUGCCCUCUGCCAAACACAAACCAGGCCACACCCUUUUUCUCCUUCACCGCAGCUUCAACAGCCCCAGCUCGCCAAGAUCGAGCCGGCCGCCCCCUCACCAGACCUUUGCUCCCCCAACCUUUUCCCUUUGGCUGCUCCUUCUCCCUUAAACCAGCCACUCGAAGAUCCCACUCAAUCGUCCCUCUCCACCGCCAGAAGUCCUCUGCCUGCCUCAACGUCGGCCACAGGAGAAAGAGAGGAGAAAUGAGCCGAAGCUUGAGGUGGUCUCUUCACCUUGCUUAAUCCUCUGCCUGCCUCACCGCCAGCCGAAAGAAGAAAGAAGGGUCGGCGAUCUACCCGAUCCAGUGGGUAACCGACCGCACGAGUCGCCGGUGAGCCACUCAACACUCCCCAACAGAUCUGCUAGCCGAGGAAGAAGGAGAGAGAAGCAGAUCUAAACAGAUCUAAGGAGAGAAUCGACUGUGUUGUUGCGUUUUUGUGUGUUUUGCAGGUGACGGUGAUCUUCACCGCCGGCGAGGAAAAGAAGAGGGGAAGAAGUCGAUCCAGACCCCCUGCUGCUUUUUUGUUUCUUGCGGCGGCGCGUGAACCCACGCGCCGCCAGUGACGGUGGCGCGUGGAGAAGACGCGCCACCAUGAGUUCUGGCAGUUCCAGAGGGUCCUCAAUGCAAUUUCGGGAGUUUUAGGGACUGUUUUUGUAAAUUUUAAAUUAUGUAAUGUAAUUUUUGUUUAGUGUUGAAUUUUUUUAAUUUGUAAUGUGGAUGUAACAAAAAAAAAGAAAGAAAAAGAAAAGAAAAGAAAAAAUAUAGUGAAAGUGUAUGUGUGUUUGUAUUUUUUUUAUGUAUGUUAUUGAGAUAAAAAAUGAAUUUAAUAUUUUAAUUUAUAUGCUCAAAUAUCUAAAGGACAGAUAAAAAUCAUGUUGUAUUUUCCAUAAAAAUGUAGAACAUGUAUCUACAUAUAUUUUGGGAACUAAUAACUGAUUUAUCGAAGCCUUAGAAUUGGGCUAAAAUUUUUAUUUUUAAAAACACAUCAAGUCCACGAAGCAGCUUACCUCAGGUAGGGUGCGUUAGGGGUGCUAAUACCUUCCCUAACCACAACCAGUCCCUUACCCAUGAAUCUCUGACAAGAUCAGUACAUCCGGUUUCCUAGUAGCCCGCAAUCAAUUACUUGGUGGCGAUUCCAACGAACCAAUCAAAUCAAAUCAAACAUAACAAAUGAAAAAAUCGCCAGCCGAUGCCGCGCUGAUUUUUUGACGUGCGACAACAGCAUGGGACAAAACAAGGGCAUCCCUCACUCGCAAUCAUCAUUCCAUUGAGAUAUGACAUCAAAACAACCUUGGCUUUUCGUAAGAAAUCAAGGCCAAGAAUAAUAUCGUAAUCAUCAAGACUUACGACCAGCACAUCCUGCUUGCCUCUCCACUGAUCCAGCGUUAUCGGCACAUCAUAAGACAUCCCAGCAAUCCUCUGUGCCUUCGAGUUUACUGCCUUCAUUGAUGUGUGGCUGUCACUCAGCCGCAGGCCAAGUUCUUUCACCAGCCGAUCUGCCACAAACGUGUGGGUUGCGCCUGAAUCCAGCAUAGCAUUCACGUCUUUGCCAUUUAUCCCAAUCUUCACAUACAUUAGAUUGUCCGUAGCCCCUGACUUCCCUUUCCGCAGUGCAUCAAUCCUCGCCAAGUCUUUAUCGACAGGGCGGGUUUCGGCAGCCCCAUCCUCUGAUUUAGCUACCAGGCAGUUUAUCACACGUAUAGGAUUGACGUGCGUAACUACCCCUUCCCCCUCAUUGCUAUCCCCAGCCCGAAUAGCAUUCAACUUCUCCCUCUUCGGACAUUCCCUCGCAAAGUGAGGACCAUCACAAAUGAAGCAAGUAAAGUUCGGUUUAGUACUCUUACCUUGUGCACCCAUAAACUUGGCCUUGCCCUUCUCCGCAGCAGUAGCCCUCGAUGCACCCCCACCGAACUUCUUCCUCGUUCUUUCCUCCUUGUUUCUUCCCUUAGACUUGAAGGAGGUUGAUGUAUAGCCCUCUCUUGUAGUUGAUUUAAAAUCAAUCAAGCUGUCCGCAGCGGCAAUAGCGGAGGACAGAUCCUUUACGUUCUGUCGCCUUAGUUCCGCUUGCGCCCAAGUUUGCAAUCCGGACAUGAAGUUGAACAACCUGUCCUUCUCGGACAUAUUCUCAAUGUCGAGAAUCAAGGAACUGAAAGCUUUAACAUACUCAUGAAUUGACCUAUCAUGUUUGAGCCUUUUCAAUUCCUCCCGCGCUAUCCAAGAUGUGUUGUUCGGAAGGAACUGCUCCUUUAGCUCCUUCUUGAGACAAUCCCAUGUCUCAAUCUUUGGACGUCCAGCACUUAAGUCCUCUUUAGUUCUCGUCCGCCACCAAAGUUUUGCAUCACCCGUGAGAUACAUCACGGUAAGAUCCACUUGUUCAGCCACGCCGAUCUUCGCAACGCUAAAGUAUUGCUCCAUAUCCCACAAGAAAUUCUCAAGCUCUUUGGAACUUCUUGCCCCACCAAAACACAUUGGUUCAGGCACUUUAGGUUUAGAAGUACUUACCCCAAUAGGAGCGCUUGUCACUGCCUUCUUCAGAAUGGCCAUUGUCUCUUCGAUAGUAGCCAAUCGUUCACUCGAUUCUGCCGCAAGAGAAAUGUACAAGCUCUCAGCCCUUUCAGCGCUUUCCACAGCUUCCUUCAAGCAAUCAACAAUAGAACGUUCUUCGUCUUCUUCCUCCGACCCUAUCAAGGUCUCAAGACGCGUCAACCGUUCCCAAAUAGCUUCCAUGCCUUUCGCUGCACGUUUUUAGAAUCAACCGUGCUCUGAUACCAAUUGUCACGGGGUUAAAUUUUCCGCAAUGAAAUUCAACCCAAUGCGGCAGUCUAGUCCCAACUAGACUAAGCCUUGCCUCACCCUUUCGCUCGUGUUUCCUACGACUAUGUGUUUCGCUCACCAAGAGAGGUUCUCACAGUAACUUCGUCGUCAACAAGGAAACCAACACAAGCAAGCACACCGAGGAUACAAGAAUCCCUCUCAACCUUUAUUUAUCUCAUCAACAAAGGAUUACACAACAAGAGUGUGUGUGCUAUGCACAUAAAUCGCAUGCUCCACAACAGAGGCUUGGCAGCCUAUUUAUAGACAGAUAUGAGCUGCAGGCUCCCCCCCAUUAUCCCCCAUUUUCGGGACCUAGUGGAGCACUUCCUCUAACCCAUGAUCCCAUGUUUUCAGGACAUAGUGGAGCACUACCUCUCACCCAUGAUCCCAUGUUUCCAGGACUUAGUGGCAUGGAGAGCACCCCAGUUAUGCUCCCACGUUUUGCCUCCCAUGAAGCUGCCACUUCCCCAUUUCCUGGCUGUCUACUUGGCAGCCCCCACUGCCAGAUUCUGCUGCGUCAGCUGCUGACUUAGAAGGUCCAUUAUCUAAGCCCCACGUCCAUGCCAAGUCGCCAGCUCAAAGACUUGCACAGACCCUUGCACGCUGCCUGCCGAAUUCGUUUCUGCCGCAGUCCAUCGCUGCCGAAUUCUAGGCAAUGUGCCUUCGUUGGCGCGCCCCGCGCCUAGACCUCUAACACCUUGUUUUCACAAAGGCAAACCUGGAGUCUUCGGCUAUGCAAUCAAGCCCACAUCUAGCAGACCAUAUUAGGAAUGCUUUGAUCCGGCCCUUUCACAAAGGCGUACCAAGAAUAGAGGCUAGAAAAUACAUUUUAGGCUAUUUGAAUUUAUUUACUCGGUUGCUAUUUACAUUUUAGGUGGUGGAAUGAUUUAAAUUUUUCUGAGGAGUUUCCAUAUGCAAGAGAUAGAAUUAUAGAGAUCUAUUUCUGGGCAAAAGCAAUCCAUUUCGAGCCUCAAUAUGCUUUCUCGCGGAUGGUGGUCACGAAAUAUACAAAAUUUGUAUCACUUGUAGAUGAUAAAUAAGAUGCAUAUGCAUCUUUUGAAGAAAUACAACAUUUUACUAAUGCAACUGCAAGGUUUGUUUCUUGUUAUCUCAUAUAUAUAUAUAUAUAUAUAUAUAUAUAUAUACAUUUUUUAUGAAUACCGAAGAAUUAUAUUAAGCUGGUCAUCGAAAUUCAGGGAGACAAAGAAAAGAUAAUAUAAUAGCUAUGGUAGAAUAACAAGUUAUAAGUACUAAUUACUCCAAUCUGCUAUACACUCCAUAUUUCUUAACAAAUUCAUAUCAGUAUAUCAAAGAAUCAUCUCAACCCAAUAACUUAAGCUAUUAGGUAAAAUUAUUCUCUAACAUACUCCCUUAAGUAAAAGUCAUUUAGGCUUGAAAACUUGCAUAGACUCACAUUACCUUGUGCUUGACUUUUAUCAAAUAAAUGGGGAUGGUGAGAUUCGAACUCAUGAUCACUUGGUCAUCAAGGCUCUGAUACCAUGUCAAAGAACCAUCUCAAUCCAAUAACAUAAACUAUUAAGUAAAGUUUCAAGAUAUGAUUUAUAUUAUUUUCAAAUACAGUAUAAAAAAAACUUGAAUUAUAAGAAUGAAUCCAAGAUACAGAAUUGUGGAAAAACAAUUCUCAAUCCAGUAUACUUACAUCAAAUAUGAAUUUGUCCCUAUAUGCUAGAAAAUCUAAAUUAUUCCAUAGAAUAGUCCUUGCCAAACUUGUUGCUUAAAGUUUUCUUUAAUCAAUCUUUGCCAUUGAUGAAACAAAUCGUCCAAGGUAAGAGGUAUGCGUCAUGAAACACCUCAACAACUAACUAUUUUAUUCCAAAAUUUUCAAGACACCAAACAACGAAAAAGGAUGUAAGUUGUAGUUUCUGACUCAGAAAUACAAAGUCGACAUAUAUCUGCAUACAUCAUUAUAACUUUUCUUGUAAUAAAAAAGAAGCGAGUGCAUAACCUGUUAUAAAUAGCUAACCAAAGAAUAAACUCAGUUUAUGAAGGGGAAACACCCUUCCAAAUAUCAAUACUGUAUGUCUUUAAAUCCCGGUAAAUGUGUCUAAAAAACAUCAUUAAAGUAUCUUUACUCAAUAAUAAGCCGGACUUUAAGUUCUUUUUUAAUGUCAGAACAUGAAGUUAGAUGAGAAAUUUUUCGAAAUUCAUCUUUAGUAUAACCUUCUCAAAGCCAAUACCUUAGAGGUUGAUGGAAUUCUUAUAUACAAAUAUUUAUUAUCUACUUCUUCGUAAGUGAAAAACAUCAUUUUCUCUACGCUUACAAGUCUUGUUGUGCUCUAUUUUUGCAAUAAUUAACUUGGUAUCUAAUCUUGUUGCAAAUGAAUCAUUUUCCAUGAAAUGUUUUAGCAUUUCCCUUCGUUUGACUGCAAAAUUUUUCUUUUAUUUAUUAAUAUGUGUCUUCUCUUGUUCAACAAUAUUGAGUUUAGGAGCCAAACUAGAAGACCUGACUCUUCUUUUAGACAAUUUAUCUUUCCCUUCUAAUAUCAAUCUCAAAAUGAGAUAGAAUUGUAGAGAUCUAUUUCUGGGCAAAUGCAAUCCAUUUCGAGCCUCAAUAUGCUUUCUUUCCGAUGGUGGUCACGAAAUAUACAAAAAUUGUAACACUGGUAGAUGAUACAUAUGAUGCAUAUGCAUCUUUUGAAGAAAUACAACAUUUUAGUAAUGCAAUUGAAAGGUUUGUUUCUUGUUACCUCAUAGUCUCUUUUUUAUGAAUAUCAAAGAAUUAUAUUAAGCUGGCCAUCUAGUGGAUGAAAAUCUAGCAAAACAAAGAAAUUAUACAAUAAUAGUUAUUGUAGCAUAACACGUUAUAGGUACUAAUUACUCCAAUCUGCUACACCCUCCAAUCUGCUGUUUUCCUUCUGGAGAGAAAAAGGGCAAUUACUUGUCCAUGUUUCUGAAAUUCCUUCUUCAAAUCUCUAUAGGUCAGCUAUGUGAUCGUUCAAAGUAGAAUUUGAGAGCCAUUUCUGGGUUAUGAGUCGUUGUGUGAUGGUAUUGGAAAGGAUUAGAGAGGGAUAUGGGUGGGUUCUUUUGAAUGCUUUAGAUAGUAGGCUGUAGAUAGUAGGCUUUAAAAAGAAGAAGACGAAGAAGAGCUGGAAUUUUAAAGAUGGUUCUAAGCUUUUGUAAAGGUUGUGAUGGCUAAGAUUACAGGAUAAUAACAGAAGCUGGUUGAGGUUUGAGCGGUUUGUGGGUAGGACGUUGGCAGGUAGGAAGAAAUAAAAAAAGAAAAGUUUUGAUUCUCUAAUGGUCAUUUAGUCGAACACAUGUGAAGAAUUUUCUGCAGAAGAAAAGUUGAAUAAUGCAGAAGUAGAGAAAGAAGAAGAGAAUGAAUUUCUUUGUGAGAAAGAAGAAGAAUUACACGUUUUAGAAAAUCUGCAAUCUGCAUGCGGCAUUUACUUCUCUUUAUUUUUCUUACUUUUCUCAUAGUACAUGAAUACAUAUAUAUACACAUAUCCUAACUAACUUCGUUUAACUAACUUAACAGUUAUAACUAACUUUUAACUAACUUAACAAUUUAUAUGAGAAAUGACAGAAUGGCCAAUCUGCUUAGUCUUCUGUGGAUGUUGAGUUUUCUGUAUGCGUGGCUUUCUCUACAAUCUUGGAAGGUUUCAUAUGUUCCUUAUGUGUAUUGAUAGUUUGCUCUAGAUUCCAAUAUGGUAUUCCAAUAACAUGGAGGGUGUGUCGAAAGAAUGGAAGAGGAGAGACUGGGUUACCUUUUAUGAAGAACAAAAACACUAGAUAUGGACAUCCACUGUGAUUUUUAAGUUACCUCAUAGCCUUUCUCUUCUAAAUCGUACAAAGAUGUUCAAGAAAUGAUAUGUGAUUUUCUGUCUCAAUUUCAGAUGCUGCAUGGAUGCCAUCGAUCAACUACCCGCCGAGUACUUGAAAGUUCUUUUCAGAGCUCUUCUGAAUCUUUUCAGUGAAACUGACAGAGAUAUGGGAGAGCAAGGACGAUCCUAUGCGUCAUAUUACUUGAAGGAGGCAGCAAGAAUAUUUCUCCAGCUCAUGCAUUCUUUUUCUAUUUUUAGCAAAAUACAUUCUUUUUUAUUUGUAUGCUAUUAGUUCAAAGAAUUGGCGAGAGGCUACCAAGUGGAGGCGCAGUGGGCAGAUGAAGGCCAUGUCCCACCAUUUGACAUGGUGGGCCAUGAGGUAUGAUAGUUAAAUCCCUAAAAAAUAAAUAAAUUAUUAGAUAUAUUGAUAAUUGAAUUCGCAUUUACCAUAUAAAUAUAGAACUAUUACGAAAAGUAUUCACAAAUUCUAUCUUUCAGUUAACUCGUAUAGUUCAACAAUAUUAACGAUAAACUUAAACAGGCGGUUAUUUUACUAUACAUUAUCUUACAAAACAUUAUUUAUUUUAAUAAUAUUUUUUAAAAUCUAUAUAUAUAUAUAUAUUUUAAUUUCAUAUUUUAAUAUAUAGUUUAUUAGAGAUUGAAUUUCAUUGAACACUAUUUAUUUCAAUAGAGUUUGACGGGUUAACUCUAAUUUUUUAUUUUAGGUUUUUUUUUCUAAUUAGAAUCUUUUUUUGAUGAAGCCUAAUUCCUAUCACGAGUCUCGGACAAGAAAGCAAUGGAAGAGAUACAAAAGAUGGUCGUAAAUGGAUGGAAGGACAUCAAUGAAGAUUGCGUGAGGCCACCUAAUGCUUCAAUGCUUCUCCUUCGACAUAUUGUUAACCUUGCUCGAGUUACCGAUGUUAUGUAUGGGGAUGACGCCGACGCCUACACAAUCCCAUUAAGUUUAAAAGAUUAUGUAGUCACUUUAUUAUAUGACAGCAGUUAUACACUCCUCUAACAUGCAUUACAUGAUUUAUUCUGUUGCUAACGAACUCUAACAACUUCUUAACACGUGUAUCAAUGUCUACUGCCAGCUAGCAUUUGAACCGUCACUGAAACUGUGACAAUGAAGCUGUAACAAUACUCCCUCCUUAAAUGCAUUCUGAUCCACAAGAACGCUCAUUUAUUCCAGCCAUGAGCUGCGUAUUGUACUCUGGAAAUGGCUUUUGAAGUUCUUCAAGAUCCUCCCUAAGAAAUUGCAUCUUCUGGAAAGAGAUUGGACCACUGAGUCAAACCUACUAUCACUGCCCAGUUGCCUUUCCUCGUCAAUUUCCUACCCAGCACAGCUACAAGAACGAUUUGCAUUCUUCCUUCUUUAUCUCACACCGGCAAUCUAGAAGAUAUUACUGCUUCGUCUCCAAUCUUCUUUUCAAGUAAGGAUGCACUAAGCUUCCCUCCGGUAACCUUAACUCAUAAGCCACGUUCCCAAUCUUUUCACUAAUUUGGUAAUUAAGGACCAUAAUACCUGGGGUUAAGCUUAAGAUUCUUCCCCAAUGCAAUACUGUUUUGUCUAUAAGGUUGAAGCAGGAAAACCCAAUCACUCUUUGAGAAUUCCCUUUCAGUUCUGUUUCUGUCUGCCAUUUGCUUCAUCUUGUGCCUCUACUACAACUACUGGGGUAGGUUCUUGAGUAAUCCAUUCUCUCUAGGGAGGAGCAUAGCCAUAAAGAGCUUGAAAAUGACUCAUUCUCAAGGCUAGGUGAUGACUGGAAUUAUACCAUCACUAUGCAAAAGAUAACCAAUGAUACCAUCACUAUGGAUGAUGCAUAGUUAUAUAUGGAAGAUAUGUUUCUAAGCACUGGUUCACCCUUUCAAAUUGACCAUCCGUUUGUGGGUGAUAGGCCGUCCUCAUCAUCAAUCAAACCCCUAACUUUUUGAACAAUUCCUUCCAAAAUAUACCGUUGAAGACCUUGUCCCUAUCCGUGACAAUAGUUGCAGGCAACCAUGGAACUUGUAAAAGUGAUAUAAGAACAACUGUGCAAUAUCUUGUGCUAUGAAGGGAUGAGCUAGUGCAAUGAAAUGCCCAUAUUUAGUGAGCCUACCAACCACCACCAUAAUAGCAUUUCUUCAUUCUGACCUUGGUAAUCCUUACAUAGCAUGACAUUUUCGUUAGCCACAAUCACUGCUAACUAUGUGGUUUUACCAGUAAGAAUAUUCAACUUCUUAAUCAUACUUUCAUCAAUAAAACUAUGCAUACUACCACUAUCUAUUAGGAUUACAUGGUCUCUUCCCUGACAAUCUCCUUUAAUCCUGAUAGUAUUGUAGGUGCCACUAUCAGCUAGGGAAUUUAAUGACAGCUCAAAUUCAUUAUCUUGUUAAUCUCUUUAUCUCCAUCUUGCAUUGUUUCUUCUAGUUCCAUCAUACCUUCGUUCUCUUCUUCCUCUAUUCCCUCUAUCAUGUGUAAGCCUUUAGCAUUGCAUCUGUGCCCCGACAUAUACUUAUCACCACACUUAAAGCACUGUCUAAGUCUUUUUCUUUGUUCGAACAAACUAUCUGGAAUUGGCUUCACACCUUGAGUCCUGGAUUGACUAAAAGUUUUGGCUGGAACAUUACUUGUUAUUCUCCCACUGUUGAAUGGAGUGUUGAUUCGUUGUAGCGAUUUGGUCUUCCUGGUUAAUGCAUUGUUAGAUUCUUCUUGCCAUCUGGCCUGUUCAAAUGCCAUUAACACAUUUAAUAAUUUCAAGAUCUUCAACAUUGGCUUGAUACAUUCUUCAGCCCACUAAUAAAGCUAGAGACACAGUAUGACUCUGGUAAUGAUAGAUUAAGAGCAGUCAUCAAUGAUUUCAAUUCUUCAAACCUUUCUACAUAAUCAUCCACGCUUCUGUCUUGUACUAGUUUGUUGAAUUCCUCAACAAUGUCAUCUCUACUACCAAACCUUCUGCAAAUAGACUAAGAAAAUUCUUCCCAACUAAUCAAUGACUCAUUCCCUCUUAUUAGCCCCUCAAACCAAACAUCUGCCCUUCCUUCCAGAUAAUAUGAGACCAAUUCUACCCACCGAUGUACAAGUACCGAAUUGAUCUUGAAAUAUUUUCUAUAUUUCCUCAACCAUCCGCGAGGAUCCCCCCUCCCUCGUGAAAAUUGGCAGUUCUACUCUAGGUAGUGGUAUGUUAUAUCUUGUCCUACUUUGUUCUUAUCCUAUCACCUGAUCUCCUUUAUACUGAUUCUUGUUUCCUAGUGAUAUUCCUCCAUACAAGGUAUUCAUCCCUGCUUCUCUACCAAUUCUAGUGUAGCCAGAACACCUUUUGAAUUAGCUCCAGUCUCCUUUCUCGCUAUUUGAUCAGCGAAGAAAUUUUGGAACUGUGAGAACAACGAUUCCAUCUGUAUAACCAACUGAUUAAUCUUCUUACCUUGCUCCAGCCAACGUUCUUUACUUUCUUCCAUAGAUUUUUUUUCCAUUUUAAGUGAUGGUUUUGUAGCUGAUUAUCAAACUUUUUGCAGUGUUCUUCAACUACCUUCAGUUUAUUAUUCUCCACCAUGGUUUAGUUGUUGGGUUGUUGCCAUUGCAUGUGCACCCAUCCAAGAUGUCAAAGGUUGGCAGCCACCAUUGUUGAAUGAGCUGGAGUUUGGCAGCCACAAAUGUUGACAACAAAGCAAGAACAGCUGCCAUGAAAUGCCUAUAAAUAGAGACAUUAUGAGAGAGCAAAAUGUGAGAGAGAACGUGAGUGCAGUAGAGAGAUCAAGAGAGAAAGAGAGGCUGCAAUGGCAGCAGCCUUGCUGCUAUUGCAGCAGCUGCAAGUGCAGCAAAGAUAAGUUGAUGAGUUGAGUAGAGUGGAUGUAAUCCUCCUCCUCUACAUGUAUGUAUUGUAACCCUUUCUCUAUCUCUAAUACAAUGACUCUCUCCCGUGGACGUAGGCGGUUUUGCCGAACCACGUUAAAUAUUGUGUGUCAGUGUGCUUUACCCUCCGUUUGAGCAAUUAUCAGUACAUCCCCGGUCGGAAAUUCCCAACAAUUGGUAUCAGAGCACAUGGUUUAAAGGGGUGUUUGAUUUUGCUCAAAAAUGAAAGUUGUCAAAAUUGUGUUUUGACCAUACCACUGUGUAGAGGAGGAAGAGACGAAGCCACUGUUGAAAACCGCGUCGAAAUCGGACGUCGGAAACGUCCACACGCGCCGUCACGCGCCGUCAGGGUGGCUGGCCACGCGCACAGACGCGCGCCACGCGUCACACGCGUCUUCCUCACCCGAAUGACCUGACCCGACCCGAAUACCAGACGACCCGACCCACGCGACAGACCCGGAAAAGGAUGACGUCAUCAUGACGUCAUGAUGACGCUAGUAUACCCAGUCAGCAUGCCACGUAAGCGUCCAGUCAGCAUGCCACGUAAGCGUCCAGUCAGCAGACACGUCGGCAUACGGGUCCCACCUGUCACGUCACCAGACGCAAGCCGAGCGGAGCCGAGCCGAGUUAAGCCGAGCUGUUUCUGAGCCGAGCCGAGCCGCUAGCCGAGGGAUAAGAUUCUGUGCAGCGGAGUCUACAUGCAACCGGUUCUGAGAUUGAAUCUGGGCUGUUGAUCUGGCCAGAAUUGUUUUGAUCAAAUCUUAGCCGUCUGAAGUGCGAUUUGGACGAUUUCAGACUUGUUUCCAGCUAAUUUGAUCGUUCCGGAUGCAAUGGUAUGGUCCGAUCGUUGAGAUUUGAGACCAAAAAUGACGGUGGUAAAUUAACAAAAGAGAUUGCCCGAUCAGGAGGCAUUUGAAGGUCAUCAUGGUGGUCGAUGGAGAUGAAGAGGAAGAACGUGCACAUGUUUACCCAAUUACAUGUGCUGAACUGCUAAGUGGGGAGAAUUUUAACUGCCUUGAAGGAAGGCAAAAUUGGGACACUCUAGACACCCGAUCAAGUGGACAAUUUGAGGUGAAGAGUGGAAAUUGACGAAGAUCAAUCUUAACGAAUCUAAGAACUGGUAGUCUCGCCAGAUGUUGAGAAAUCAUGUAUUAAACCAGUAUAUUCCAGAUCACUUGUAAAGGAAAGCCGCGACAAAGCUAGCAAAUGGUUGUAUAUACGGAAAGACAGUACGAUGGAUAGAUAUGGCCUAAGAAGUUCUGUCUAGGAGGUUGGGUUUUAAGCGGGACCAGUGUGACCCCUCCAAUCUUUCCUGGGAACUUGCUUAGUGGAAGGAUUAUCCAUACGGUACUAUUUUCGUAUAUAUAGCAGUUUGUAAUGAAACGGUUGAAGACUAGCAGGAUGACGGCACAAGGGAACAGUUGGGUUCCGUAUGAUCAAGGAUCUGAUGAAGUGGUGAUUUCUCCAAAGAAGUUAGAUUCGGUGACUGUGAUUUCUCGAAGGGAGAAUUGAUGAAGACCCUGAUAAUGGAAGAGAAAUACAGCAAGGGGAUAAAGAUUGGCACCCUAUUUUGACUUGGACAGGUGUUGUGACAGGAUGAGCUGCUGUCAAACAUAAGCAAGGAAUAGGGAGAAAUCUGGAGAACAGAAAUUGCACGAGGGCACACGGAGAUUGUGCAGGAGUACCCGUAGGAUCCAAUGAGGUAUUGUAAUGAGACAACAGGUGCAAGGAGAAGAAGUGUUUUCAGAUGAAGCUCAGAGCAGAGACUGUUAAAGUUUGUACAACAGGAAGUCUCUUGUGCUCUUGAUGAAGACAACAGGCGAAGACCUUUCAAAUGCAUGCAAGGAUGGAAAGAGAGCUGUUGUAGAGGCACCUAAUUGAGGGGGUGUAAACGCCUGUGAUAAAAGGCGACCGCCUAUGAUGAAAGGCGAAGACACCAAAGAGAGUUGGUGUAGGUGGAGCUGUCAAGCAGAAAAGCGUAGAAGCUCCAAACAUAGAAAUCGAGGUGGAGGAUUGCGAGGAGUAUACCGCAAGUUUCUCUUUCUAUGUAAUCAGUGGCAGUUAUCUCUCCCAUAAUGCACAUGGCGGUAGAGAAUUUUGGAGCCACUUUGAAGCAUCUCAGCUGAAGGAGGAUGCGACCGCCCCAUGACAACGGGCGAAGACACCUUAGAUGGAAGGUGUGUAAGGGCCAUGAUAUGAGCCCAAGAUUAGACCGCCGCAUAACGACGAGCGGAGACACCUAAGGAGAAGGUGUGUGGGCCACGAUAGGAGCCCAAGUUCAGAACAACCCCAGAGCCAAUGUGAUGGCUGGAUAUGAGUGGACAGAUGGAUAGCCAAUGAAGUGGCUAUGAUGAGUAUGAAGACAAAUGCAGGAUUGACUUUCAUGGAUAUUGCCCCCAUGCUAAAGAUCAAUGAGCUAGAAGACAUUUGCCUUGGACAAUAAGUGGAUGACUUGUGGAGCAUUAAGACGCGGCUGCUAUGAAGAAGCAGAAGGGCAUGCGCAGGUUCCGAGAACGAGUUGACUCUUGUCAAGGUGGUGAGCUCGGUAAUGGCAUUGUAAUACUCAGAGUAUGAAGACAGAUAUGGAUCAACCUUUAAUGGGCUGCCCCCAUGGUUAAAGGUGGAGAGCUACCUGGACUCUUACGACUAAGAGCGAGAGACUCACGGAGAAGUAAGGCGUGGUUCCUAGGAUGGAACAGAGGGCAGACGCAACUCCUGGAUGAGUAGACUCUUGGAAGAGUGGUGAGCUCGUGAUCAUAUUGAGAUACUCAGAUAAUGACUGUCGCACUUGGGAAUAUUCCGUUUGAGGGGGUGUUGUAAGCCUUGGUGUAAGGCUUGAUGAUUCAUUCCGGACCGAGCAUGGUUGAUACGCUCGAAGGGGAAUGUUGUGUCCCAGAGACAAGCGUUAACACUCUUCAGAUGUGAUGUGGCAGACCAUCUGGUUGUAGUGAUCCUUUUGUGUGAGAAAAGGUGUGCUUUGGUGACUCUGGUGAUUGAAAGGUUUGGCGAGUACCUGUAAACUUGGCCACAAAUACUCUCAGAAUGGUAAGCUUGAAAGAGCUGCAGAAUGCAAGCUUGUGCUGAAGAAGCAAGAGGACAGUUGCCCCACAUGAAUGGCAAAGGGGGUGAUUGUUGGGUUGUUGCCAUUGCAUGUGCACCCAUCCAAGAUGUCAAAGGUUGGCAGCCACCAUUGUUGAAUGAGCUGGAGUUUGGCAGCCACAAAUGUUGACAACAAAGCAAGAACAGCUGCCAUGAAAUGCCUAUAAAUAGAGACAUUAUGAGAGAGCAAAAUGUGAGAGAGAACGUGAGUGCAGUAGAGAGAUCAAGAGAGAAAGAGAGGCUGCAAUGGCAGCAGCCUUGCUGCUAUUGCAGCAGCUGCAAGUGCAGCAAAGAUAAGUUGAUGAGUUGAGUAGAGUGGAUGUAAUCCUCCUCCUCUACAUGUAUGUAUUGUAACCCUUUCUCUAUCUCUAAUACAAUGACUCUCUCCCGUGGACGUAGGCGGUUUUGCCGAACCACGUUAAAUAUUGUGUGUCAGUGUGCUUUACCCUCCGUUUGAGCAAUUAUCAGUACAUCCCCGGUCGGAAAUUCCCAACAUUAGUGAAUUGCACGGCCAAUUGUUAACGUAGUGCAGGCUCUGAUACCAAUUGUUAAGCUUGGCUUAACAAGUAAGCAGAAGAGAAGGAUAACAGGGGAAAGAGGAGAAUGAGACGGAGAAAUGAAAGAAGAAAUGGUUUUGUGUAUUCUUGCGUGCCUUUAUGUAAUCCUGACAGCGGUUAUAUACUCCUCUAACAUGCAUGACACGAUUUAUUUUGUUGCUAACUAACUCUAACAACUUCUUAGCACGUGUAUCAAUGCCUACUGCCAGCUAGCAUUUGAACCAUCACUGAAACUUCAACAAUGAAGUUGUAACAUCAACAUUUAUGGUACUGUAAUAAAUUUGUUUGUUUCAUGCCGGAAGAACAAAAGGAAUUGGCAUUUUGGUUUUGUCACAUUGACAAUCCUUUGUGAUUCGGAAUCUCUGCUGCACAAUUUGAAUGGAAUAUGGUUUGGUGAAUACAAACUAAGAGCUAAUCUAGCACGCCAUGAUUCUACUCCAAGGGUUAUACCAAAGAUUUUUAAGUCAGUGACACCCAAACCAGUGACAAUUAAGGAGAUGGGCACCAGAAGUUAUGCCAUGGUUGUAAGUAGUCCAGCUUGCAGUAAUGAUGAUCGGCCAAUAUUGGGCAGCUGUAACUUGCCAAUUAGCCAUACCAAUUCUAUCAACAUGGAUGUUUCUCCAAAAGCAACAUUGGAACAAUAUGUAACGCCUGUUUUAUUGGAUAAGGUGGGUGACGAAGACAUGUCUUGGCUGAAGUGUAGUCUCAUUGGUGCAAUCUCUGAAGGUUUUAAUUUUUGAUCCAUCAGGCAGUCCCUCAUUGAUGAUGGAAUACAAUUCAAUGGCUUUUGUUUCUUGGGGGCUACUCAGGUUCUCAUCGUUUUCAAAUCAGAGAGUGAUAUGAUGGAUGCCUUUUAUGAAGAAUACCAAUUAUGGACAACCUAUUUUGAUGAAUUACGCCCUUGGCUGCCCACAUAUUGCCCCAUUGACAGGUUUCCUUGGAAAAGAAUGGACGGGUUGCCGCUGCUAUGAUGGAAUAUGGCCUGUUUGAAGAGACUGAUUGUAGACUUUGGGAAGAUAGUGGGUUUCAUAGAAAAAGUUAAUGCCUUUGUCAUUUUGACAGAAUAAGGUUGUUAAUUGCAACUAAGCUAGCUCCGAAAAUUGAGAAGGACCUUGAUCUCAAAUUAGAUGACAAGGUACACCAUUUACAUGUGGAGGAAAUAAUUUGUGAACAGCCCCCUGACCUUGAGUAUAUUAAUUUCAAUUUGAACUCCUUCAGACCAUGGAUUGAGGAUGUGGAUGAUUCUGAAUUUUUGAAACAGGAUGUAGAGGUAGACAUAGUUGCUGAAUCAGUUCUAGAAUCUAGACCACACGAUGAUACCUGUGGUGAGCAAUCAGAUGGGUGUUCAGAUGAUUUUAUUGUCUUUAUAAACAGAGACGAUUCAAAUGAACAAUGUUGUGAUGCUGAAUUAAUGUUUCCAGAAAUUACAGGAGAUGUGAGAGUGGCAGUGGAACAUGAUUUUGCUAUAGAAGGGGAGUUGGAUGUGGACAAUCAAGAACAAUCAGUAGAGCCGGCGGUGGGUGCUGAAAAUUGUCAACAUGAGCCUGAACAUACAUCAGUGGAGCAUCCUAUAGUUACCCGAAGUAAAUACCGUAAGACCAAAUUUGUGGCUGACAUAGGAACUGUUUCAGAUACAUUGGGUGAAUAUGGAACUGUUUAAGACAUAUUGGGGCUGGAAACCUAUUCAGUUUCUCAAUAGUUGGUUUUCUCAUCCUAAUUUUAUGAAGGACUUUGAGAAUUAUUGGGGUGCUAGUUGCAGAGAUUUUCCAGGGGAUUUCAGAUUGAUUAUGAAGCUUGCUGUUAUGGGUAAAAGUUUUUGUGUCUGGAACAAAACAGUGUUUGGAAAUCAGAAUCUCAAGCUUCUUGGAGUUGAGCAAGAACUCAGGUCUCUUGAAAAGUUAGGUGAUAACUGGCCUCCUUUUGAGUCCGAAAAAGAAAGGAUUAAGUUUAUUUCUUCAGAGCGUUGGGAUAUCAGUGUUAGAAUCUAUGAGAAUUUGCCUUUAUUUGAUAGCUGUUAGACUUGGUAUUUGGUUUUAUCUUCAUAACAGAUUCUGUUACGAAUUUUGCUAUUAUUCUGCUAUUAGUAGUAGUCCAAUAAUCUCUCAUGUUUGUUAAGAAUUUAUAGCAUUUUGAAUUUGGUUGUAAGCCUUUAAAUAGGCAGUCUUAAUUUAUAACAAUUAUUAUCAUUCAGCUUCAACUUUCUCUCUAUUAGAAUUCUCUGCAAUUGUUAUCUACUUAUACUGCAGAUUCCAAUAGUAUUUAAUAUACUGCAGAUUUCAACAGUGGUAUCAGAGCUAAUAUCCUACGGGCUGUGGGGCAAGUUUUUUGAGUGCUAAACACGGUGAGGUUGAGUGCUAAACACAGAGAGGGUGAGUGUAAACACUAGUGAUUUACUUUGUCUACUGAUUCUAUGUCUACUUCAAGCAACUCUGCAUCUGCAAUUCCAGUGUUCAGUGGUGAACACUAUCACAUUUGGGCUGUCAAGAUGAGAUUUUAUCUAAGAUCUCAAAGCUUGUGGAAUGUUGUAGUGUCUGAUUCUGAUCCACCACCAUUGACAGCAAACCCCACAAUUGCUCAGAUGAAGGCACAUGAAGAAGAAAAACUCAAGAAGGACAAAGCCAUCACCUGUCUACAUUCUGGACUUGCAGAUCACAUCUUUACCAAAAUUAUGGACUUGGAAACACCAAAACAGGUAUGGGACAAGCUUCAAGGUGAAUUUGAGGGUAGUAGCAGAGUUAAAACUGUUAGACUUCUUGCAUUGAAAAGGGAGUUUGAGUUGAUGAAAAUGAAAGAUAAUGAAUCUGUCAAAGAUUAUUCUGGCAAAUUAAUGGAUGUUGUAAACCAAAUGAGGCUUCUUGGCAAGGCUUUUACAGACCAUAAGGUGGUAGAGAAAAUCAUGGUUUCAGUACCACAGAAGUUUGAAGCCAAAAUUUCUGCAAUAGAAGAGUCUUGUGAUCUGAACAAUCUCAUUAUUGCAGAAUUAACAAGCAAACUUCAUAUACAAGAGCAAAGAGUCCAAAUGAGAGAUGAAGAGGCUAUUGAAGGAGCUUUCCAAGCAAACACCAAGGAAAGGGGUUCUAGAAACUUGCAACGAAAGAAGCCUUUCAAGUUUACCAAGGGAAAAACUGAAAUGUCUUCAAGAAAGCAAAAUUACUCAUCUUGCUCUCAUUGCAAAAGAACCAACCAUGCUGAGAAGGAUUGUUGGUAUAAAGACAAACCUUCUUUCAAAUGCACAUUCUGCAAUAAUCUCGGUCACAGUGAGAAAUAUUGCAGAGCAAAGAAGAAACAAUCUCAACAACAUAUUCACUAGCAAGCAAAUGUUUCAGAAGAAGAAAAAGAGGACACUGAGCACUUGUUUAUGGCAUCACAAGUUAUUAGUUCUCAUGAACAGAAUAUUUGGCUCAUUGAUAGUGGCUGCACUAGUUACAUGACCAAACAUCUAGCAAUGUUUUCUUCCAUUGAUAAAUCAAUUCAACCAAAAGUCAAGCUGGGAAAUGGUGAUGUUGUGCAGGCUAAAGGAAGAGGAACGAUUGCUGUCAGCACCAAAAGAGGUACAAAGAUUAUAAAUAAUGUUCUUUACAUUCCUGAACUAGAUCAAAAUCUGCUUAGUGUUGCACAAAUGCUAAGGAAUGGUUAUGCAGUCUCCUUUAAAGAAAGGUUUUGUUUUAUCACUGAUACACAUGGAUUAGAGAUAGCAAAACUCAAAAUGGAUGGUAAUAGCUUCUAUUUGAAGCUUGAUGCAGUUGAAGGGCAUGUCUUUUAUGCUAAGGUUGAUGAGAGUAUUAUGUGGCACAAAAGAUAUGGUCAUUUCAACUUAAAGUCUUUAAAGUUUAUGCAUGAUGCUGGUAUGGUAGAUGAUAUGCCUGAAAUCCAUAUUAGUGACCAAACUUGUGAUAGCUGUGAACUUGGGAAGCAACAUCGACAACCAUUUCCUCAAAGUAUAUCAAAAAGAGCCACUCACAAGCUAGAAUUAGUCCAUUCAGACAUUUGUGGACCAAUGAGCACAGCUUCAUUAAGCAAUAAUCUAUAUUUUAUUCUCUUCAUUGAUGAUUUCAGCAGAAUGACUUUGGUUUAUUUUCUGAAAACCAAGUCACAAGCACUUUCUAUGUUCAGCAACUUCAAGAAAAUGGUGGAAACUCAAUGUGGUCAGAAAAUUAAGAAGCUCAGAACUGAUAAUGGAGGAGAGUAUACUUCAAAAGAGUUCAGUGUUUUCUGUCAAGAAGCUGGAAUUGUGCAUCAGCUGACAGUUCCAUACUCACCACAGCAGAAUGGAGUUUCAGAGAGGAAGAACAGGACUGUGAUGGAGAUGACAAGGUGCAUUAUGUUUGAAAAGAAGCUACCAAAGUUUCUAUGGGCUGAAGCUGUAAACACGUUAGUUUACUUGCUCAACAGACUACCAACAAAGUCUGUUCAAGACAGAACACCAUUGGAGGCAUGGUCUGGUGUUAAGCCUACUGUCAAACAUCUCAAAGUGUUUGGAUCAUUGUGCUAUUUUCACGUGCCAUCUGCCAGAAGAGGGAAACUUGAUGAAAGAGCUGAAAAAGGAAUUUUUGUGGGAUAUGCAACAGAAUCUAAAGGUUACAGAAUAUACAAUCUGAGUGCAGCUAAAGUCCAGAUUAGCAGAGACGUUCAUUUUGAUGAAAAUUCUUACUGGAAGUGGGGCUUAAAGGAAGUUGAUUGCAUAACCACAGCUGCUCUUGAACCAGCAGUAGAAGGAACUUCAGAUACAGCAAUACUAAAGGUGAGACCUUUGUCUGAUGUAUAUGAGAGAUGUAAUCUGGUACAUGCUGAGCCUACAAGCUACACUGAAGCUGCAAGAUUUCCAGCUUGGAUUGAUGCUAUGAAGUCAGAAAUUGAUUCCAUUGAAAGAAAUGGAACCUGGAAAUUGACAGAACUUCCUCAGAACAAAAGAGAAAUUGGUGUGAAGUGGGUUUUCAGAACCAAAUUCAAUCCAGAUGGUUCAAUUUUCAGACACAAGGCUAGAUUGGUUGUUAAAGGCUUUGCUCAAAUUGCUGGAGUGGAUUAUGGUGAUACUUUUGCACCAGUUGCUAGGCAUGACACCAUUAGACUUCUACUUGCACUUGCGGGUCAAAAGGAAUGGAAAGUGUAUCAUUUAGAUGUCAAGUCAUCUUUUCUAAAUGGGAUACUCCUUGAAGAAAUCUAUAUUCAGCAACCGGAAGGCUUUAUAGUUACUAGCCAUGAACACAAAGUAUAUAAGCUACACAAGGCUCUUUAUGGCUUGAAGCAAGCACCAAGGGCUUGGUACAGCAAAAUUGAUACUCAUCUGAUUCAACUGGGAUUCAAGAGAAGUGAAAAUGAAGCUACUUUGUAUUUGAAACAAGAUGAAAAUGGUCUGCAACUAGUAAUUUCACUCUAUGUGGAUGACAUGCUAGUGACUGGUAGCAAUGUCAAAUUGCUGGCAGAAUUCAAAAGAGAAAUGCAUGAUGUUUUUGAAAUGUCUGAUCUUGGCAUUAUGAACUACUUUCUUGGAAUGGAAAUACAUCAAUGCAGCUCGGGUAUCUUUGUUUCACAAAAGAAAUAUGUUGUUGAUAUACUCAAGAGAUUUAAGCUUGAAUCAUGCAAAGAAGUAGCAACUCCAUUAGCAUAAAAUGAGAAGAUUUCAAAGAAUGAUGGUGAGCAACUUGAAGAACCUUCUGCAUAUAUAAGUUUAGUAGGUAGCCUACUAUACUUGACAGCAACUAGACCUGACUUGAUGUUCCCAGCUGGUUUACUGUCAAGAUUCAUGAGCUCACCUAGCAAUGUUCACAUGGGAGUUGCCAAGAGGGUCCUGAAGUAUAUUAGAGGGACAGCCGAUCUUGGAAUCUUGUACUCAAAGUCAGGAGGAGUAAAAUUAAGUGGAUAUGCAGAUAGUGACUGGGCAAGGAGUGUUGAUGAUAUGAAAAGCACUUCUGGAUAUAUUUUUACAAUUGGUUCAGGUGCAAUAUGUUGGAAUGCAAAAAAGCAAGAAGUGGUGGCACAAUCAACAGCUGAAGCAGAGUAUAUUUCCCUAGCAGCUGCUGCAAAUCAAGCAAUAUGGUUGAACAAAUUGCUUGCUGAUCUAGGCCAAGGAUAAAGAUCACCAACUAAGCUUUAUUGUGAUAACAAGUCUGCGAUUGCUAUUGCUCAAAAUCCGGUUCAAUAUGGCAGGACCAAGCACAUCAAUGUGAAAUUUCACUCCAUUAGAGAAGCUGAGAAGAAUUUACUUGUAAAGCUUCAUUACUGUCCAACCGAAAUACAACUUGCUGAUAUAAUGACUAAAGCACUUCCUAAAGCAAGGCUGGAAUUUCUAAGGAUGAAACUUGGUUUAUCCAAGGCAAAUCUCAAGGAGGAGUGUUAGAAUCUAUGAGAAUUUGCCUUUAUUUGAUAGCUGUUAGACUUGGUAUUUGGUUUUAUCUUCAUAACAGAUUCUGUUAUGAAUUUAUAGCAUUUUGAAUUUGGUUGUAAGCCUUUAAAUAGGCAGUCUUAAUUUAUAACAAUUAUUAUCAUUCAGCUUCAACUUUCUCUCUAUUAGAAUUCUCUGCAAUUGUUAUCUACUUAUACUGCAGAUUCCAAUAGUAUUUAAUAUACUGCAGAUUUCAACAAUCAGUAGGGGGAUGGAGGAUAUCUGGAGGCAGAAAUCUCGUCUGAAUUGGUGUAAAUUGGGUGAAAUAACACUCGAUUUUUCAAUAUAUCAGCUAGUAUGCGCAAGGCUAGGAUUAAGAUUUUUCGGAUUGAGCAUGAAGGAAGGAUUUUGAUUACUCCUAAAGGAAUCAAAGAUGCUGUUGUGGAUUUUUAUUCUAAUCUCUUCACAAAGCCGACCAUGCCUAGAAUUUCUACGGGUAGCUUGGGGUUCAAAAAAAUAUCUUUGGCAGUUUCGGAUUGGUUGGACGGAGCUCCGGAUUUAGAGGAAGUGAAGUGAGCCCUCUGGGAUUGUGAUAACUCUAAAGCUCCAGGGCCUGAUGGAAACAAUUUUGCUUUCUACAAAAAGACUUGGCAUUUACUCAACAAAGAGAUUUUCUUGAUGGUGACAGAGUUCUUCAGAACCUGUAAGUUACCUAAAGAUAUUAGCUCCUCUUUUGUUGCUUUAAUUCCUAAGAAUAAAAAUCCUGCAAGUUUUUCUGUGUGCAGGCCUAUCAGUCUCAUACAUGGUCUUUACAAAACUAUGGCGAAGCUGCUUUUUUCUCGGCUGAGGACUGUUAUGUCAGAUAUUAUAAGUGUGAAUCAGUCAACAUUUAUUGCGGGGCGGCAGAUUCUAGACGGUUUUAUAAUAGCAAACGAGGUAGUUCAUGGAAUUAAAAAAAGAGAUGCCACAUUUUUUUGUUUAAGGUGGAUUUUCACAAGGCUUUUGACUCCAUCCUGUGGGAGAACCUUGAUGAAACUUUGGGUUAAAUGGGUUUUAAUGGCCACUGGAGGGGUUUAAUUUAUGAGUGUCUUUCCAAUUCCAAAGAUGGCUGUCCUUAUCAAUGGGUCUCCUACCAAUGAAUUCAGUUUACAGAGGGGGUUGAGGCAGGGUGAUCCUCUUUCUCCAUUGCAUUGGAAGGUCUGACAGUUUUUUUUAACAGAGCCUCCUCAAUCAGAUACUUUAGUGGAUUAAUGGUUUCAUCACUCAUCUGCAAAAUGUAGGUGAUACUCUGACUAUGAAUCCCUUCAACAUGUCAAAAGGAUUCUACGCUGGUAUGAAAUUAUUUCAGGGCUUAAAGUUAAUUUUUACAAGAGUUCUCUGAUUGGCAUUAAUCUAGAUGAGAACUUCACUUCAAGGAUUGCUAGGGGUAUUUUCUGUUGUAAUGAUCAUUUUCCUGCUAUGUUCAUAUAGGCUUGCCUUUGGGUGCGAAUCCGUGCAGAUUAUCGACCUGGAAGCCACUGUUAACAUCUAUUGAGGGCAAACUAGGAUAAUGGAAAGGAUCUUUGCUGAGUAUGGCGCGGAGAAUAUUCUGCUUGAUCAAGUCUGUUUUGAGCUCUUUGCCACUUUUUUAUAUGUUUGUUUUUCUAAUGCCACAAGGCAUUAUUAAGACAAUUUCUUCCAUCCUUGGGAGAUUUCUUUGGAGUGGAAGCACAGACGUUAGUGAAAUGUGUAAAGUUGCAUGGAAUAAGGUUAUUAAACUGAAAGAUCAUGGAGGAUUGGGGCUCGGUUCUCUACAAGGGAAAAACUUGGAUUUGGCACCUUGAUGGUUGAAAUGUUGGCGGGUGGCAGGAGAUUAUUUUGAAUAAAUAUAGACCACUAUUUAGCAAUGGUCUUCCAUCCUUUAACUGCCAUCUUGUCCCCUACGUGGCGUGCUAUUCAGAGUUCAUUUUCCUCGGCAAGAUUAAGUGCAACUCUCAAUUCCAUCGUUUGUUUCAAACCUGGUAAUGGGCGGAUAACCAGGUUUUGGGAGGAUUGUUGGUGUGGCAUUGCUCCAUUGAAGUCACGGUGAAGCGAAGGUAAACAUGGGAACAGGGAAAAUCUCUAUCUGAAAGAUAAUAAGAUAUCAAAGAAGAAACAUUAAGAAAUAAAGGCCUGGGCAAAGAUUAAGUGGGCUUGGAACAAAAGGGAAAUGACAUGCGGAAAAAACCCUUAACGUGUUAUGCAAUCUGACGAACGCCAUCCCAAGGUCAAAAUAAAUUAAUUUAUGGUAUGAUCAAGCAAGGCAAUAAAAAUAAUUUCUCAACUUAUAAAUCUGAGAGAAGGGUGUAUGAUCGCGGGCAUAAAGUAGCUGAAAUUUACAUAAAACAAAGAAACUAAAUAAACUAAUUGGGUUAAUGGCAAGGAUUGUUGAUAACCAAUUUUUGACCCAUGUUUUGAUAAAUUUUCAGAAAAAUUCAAAAAUAGCGAAAAACAUUGAAAAUCCAAAAGAUACGUUUUUAAUACAUUUGCAUAGUUUUUAUCAUUUUUAGCAUCGUCUCAAAAGAAUUUAAAUUUUCAAGGAUAUUUGGAACGCGUUCAACUUUUAACGCAUCAUUUUUAAAAUCAUUGAUUUUCCACAUUGAGUCGAUUUUGAUAUUUGCUCGCUUUCAAAAAUACAAAAAAAAUAAGAAAAAUCAAAAUUUACAAAAAAAAAGAGGAAAAGAGAAGGAAAGGAAAAGUUGAGGGACUAAUUUGAAACCUAGCAAAACUUUUCCUAUAAAUACCAUGCUACACUAAAUUUUCGUAGGAGGUAUUUUGAAAUUAGGAGGAGACAACACAAAAGAGAAAAAACCCUAAAAAUGACCUAAACUUAUCUUCUCCAAGGGGGCCGCCGCCGCCCCCAGCUCUGAUUUUGUUCUUCUCUCCCAGCUGGUUCCACCAGCUGCUCCCCCCUCCCGGUCGUUGGUCCUCCUCCCAGCCAAAAACAAACCAAACAGCCCCUUUUGAUUUUCUCUCUUCUCCCUCAACCGGACAGCCUCUCCUCUCUCCCAGCCGCUGCCGCUCACUCUACAUCACAGCCGUUUCCUUCCACUACGGCAGCAACCGAGCAACAUCCCUCACGGACCCAGAUCGGUCCGCCGCUCCUUCCUCCUCUGCUCCUCCAGCCGCUCACAGCAGACGCCCAGCCAAGACCCUCUCCUCAAACAGAUCUUCACCACAGCUUCAACAGCCCCAGCUCGCCAAGAUCAAGCCGGCCGCCCCCUCACCAGGCUCCUCUCCUCUCUCAGGCGACCCAACGGCCUCCCUCUCCGGGUCAACGAACAAACCCGGCACAGCGGCGCCCACAGAACCCAAAUCGGUCCGCCUUCUUCCUCCAGCAGCGCCUGCACACCACCGCGGCCUAACACAGUGGCCUCCCCCUCACAACGGAUCUGCCAUCUGAAGAAAGAGAGAAGCAGAUCCGAAAGAGGAAGAAACAGAUCUAAGGAGAGAAACAGACUUGCUUGUUGCGUUUUGGGUGUUUUGUAGGUAACGGCGUUGUCACCACCAGCAGAGAAGGGAAGAGGAGAUGAAACUGAGCCAGAUCCAUCCGGCUUCCAAGUUUUGUGCGGCGGCGCGUGAACCCACGCGCCGCCAGUGACGGUGGCGCGUGGGAAGACGCGCCACCACUGUUCAUGUUGUUCCAGAAGGGCUUCCCAGCACUGUUAUGGAUUUUUGAGGGGUUAUUUUGUAAUUUUUAAAUUGAUUAAUGUAAUAUUUGUUUAGUUUGAAUUUUUAUUUGUAUGUUGUGAAUUUGGAUGUAACAAAAGAAACGAAAAGAAAAGAAAAGAAACAAAAAUAUAGGAAGAGUGAAUGUGUGUGUUUGUAUUUGUUUUUAUUUUUUUAUAUAUAUUUUUUAUGAUGAAAUUGCAAAGAUUAAAGAAGAAUUUAAUAUUUUGAUUGGGUCACGGUAAAGAAUUAUUAACUUAUACAUAAGUUGUAUUUCUAAUAUCCGAUGAAAAAACAAUUAUUAAAACUUCUUUAAACACAUCAAAUUCGCGAAGCAGCUUACCUCAGGUAGGGUGCGUUAGGGGUGCUAAUACCUUCCCUAACCACAACCAGUCCCUUACCCGCGAAUCUCUGAUAAGACCAGUAUAUCCGGUUUCCUAGUAGCCUUCAAUAAAUUACUAGGUGGCGACUCCAACGAAGCAAAUAACGCAACAACAAAAAAAAUCGCCAGCCGAUGCCGCGCGGAUUUUCUGACGUGCGACAGAAUGGCGACUCCACUGGGGAAGGUAUUGUUUCUAACAAUAUUGGACUAAGCUUUGUGUAUUUGAUGUGUUUAAGUUUUUGCAUUUUUGUCUUGUUUUAUUUUUGUUUUAUCCAUGCAUUUUUAGAAUUGUUUCAUGCAUUACUUGUAUUUAUUUUUGAAAGCACACACAAGCUUUUAGGUUAGGUGGGGAAUUAGCGAUCUGCCCUAAGACUAUUGGUCAGGGUUCAGAUGCGUGAAACACCCAACUCAUAUCUGAGUGCCUGCUUGGUAAUGGUGGGUAUAUGUACCUUAACCAUUUCUUGCAACGCCCCUAUACUGUCUGUACGAAGAUCGUCACUGGGCAGAUAUGAGACCCUUUUGAGACCAGAUAGAAAACCUACCCAUGAUCACAUAAUGAAUAGAACCUGUCCUUAGGUUGUAUGUGCUAUUUUUAUUUGCAUCAGGGCAAACUCUUCUUGAAGCAUCUUGAACUCAAGACUUGUGGGUGACCCAAUGGUCGUCACUCAGAAAAUUUUCAUUGUAGAGUUUGGGCAAGAAUCAAGAUUUUUGUUUCAUCAUACAAGAGUUAUGACCAUAUGUCACCCCUCGAAGGGCGAGUUCAUCAUAUAGUUUACAUGUUCAUACAUUUAUCAUGCAUGUACCGGGUUGAAAGAUAGGUUCUCCCACACAAGCUGUGCUACGCGCGAAUGAAGAAAGAUGAUAGAAGCAAGGAAAGUUGUCGGAGAGAGGCUCAUUGUCAAAAGGAAGUUGAGAGCAUCAGAGGUGAAGUAGCUAGAAUCAGAUCUGCUUGAACAAGUGUAGAGCAUCAAAGGGAAAGGGAAUGUCUACACAGUCUUCUGUGGGAACACUGCUUGUCCAUGUCCCAUUGAAGUUACACCUCCUCUUUUCAGUCAUGAAUAAUUGCAGCAAUGCCUUCAGUCAUCAGCUAAUGACAACCUUUGUUCUUGUUCAGUUGCACUGAUAAUUAUUCAUCGCCUCCGUAUCUGCUAAUGGAACCAAAUAACUACUAGUUUCUGUGCAUGGUACAUUAGCCUUCUUUGAAGUUACCCCAACUGUGAGCUCAAUUCCAGUUCAACAGCACAAGAUGUGGAAAAAAAAAUUAAAUAAAAAAAAACUGAAAAAAAAACCAUGAUUAGACACUGAACUUCUACGUUGCAGAGCUCUCUCUGUAGAGAUUUGUUUGUGGAUCUGCCAGUGGGGCAUGCAAGAGGGGAUGCAGUACUUUGACACGCUACAAAAAUUUGUCUCAUCAAUUUCAGCACCAAAACACUGUAGUAGGCAGAAAAGCCAGACUUGAGCUAGAAAACAGGAGCAAAUAUAGAACUUCAUCGUGGCAGAGCUCUCUCUGCAGAAAUCUGUUUGUAGCUCUGCAAGUGGAGAAUCCAAGAAGGGAUGCAGUAGUUUCUGAUCAUCUAUAAUUUUCUCUCAUCAGUGUUAGCUUGAAGAUGCAAAAGUAGGGAAAAGAGACAGACCUCGGCUGAAAAAUAGAAAGAAGAUUGAAACUUCAACAGAGCAGAGCUCCCUCUACAGGUGUCUGUUUGAUGCACCGUCAGUGAGGAAUCAAAGAGGAGACAAAGGAGUUUCAGAUUCAUCAGUUUCUCCUCCAAUAAAAACAAUGCAUCAUUUCACACAUUGACAGUGAUAGCGCUGCAUGAUUCUAUGCGCUGCCAAGAUUACUUAUCUGUUGGAAGGUUUCCAACAAUCCACAAACGACCACAACAACAUGGGAAGAUUGACAUGAUGUUGUAAGGAUUGCCUAAGGAAUUGAAUAAUCAAUGAAGAGAGGAAAGAUUGAAGGAUCUACCAUGGAUUCCAGAACAAUUAUAAGUGUUGAAUCAGAAGAUGACUCUCAAUUGAGAAACCUCAGUUAUUUUGCCUAGUCAGGUAUUGCCAUAAUAUCAACUGCUCAAAUAUCUUUGCCAAGAUUGACAUCCCACUGCCACUCAAGUUUGUCUACCAGCAUCUGCCAGAUUCUAGACUUAUUGCCUCGACUCCAUUAAAUCACAUGCAACCACCGUUUUCUAGGUGGUAUAAUCCAAACAAGAGAUGUGAUGUCAUGGUGGGGUCCUCAGCCAUUUCAAUUGAACAAUUGCAAGAAUCGAGUCUGGAAGUUGGUGAGCAAAAGACGAGAGGAAUCUGUGAAGGAGCUUGUCAUCGAUCAUUUUGUCGCCAGAACAUCCUCAGAAUGACGAGUGAUCGGAAUUGCUUGGCAAAACAGAGAUAUUGCCAAAGAGGCUGAUCUAAGAAGGGGUUAAACUGUCAAUCAUUUUUGUUAUGGAUUUUGCCAUCUUGCAUUUUGUUUUGGGGUCACAUCUCAUCCUUGAACGAAACAUGUCUUUCCUUUGUCUUCCUGAUGUUUUGAAAUCAAGAGAUGCUUCUUUCAAAGGGUAUUUUUACAAAAUAUUUUGAUCAAGCUCCAACAUGCGGUUAAGAUUAAUCAAUCCUGAAGAUUAAAAGUAUUUUGAUUGCAGAAAUAACUCGAUGCUUGAAAAUGACAUGAGGUGACCAAACAAUUUUGAACUCAUACCUCCUGAAACUGAACCACACAUCAUAUAACUAAGUUUUAGCAGUAUGCAUAACAACAUGUAGUGGAUUCAGUAGUUAUGGACUCGUGAAUCAUGACUCUUACAAGUCCAAAUCAUUACACUGGAUGAGGUCAAAAUUUAUCGGUUCUAACCGACCUUGCUUGAAACGAGAAAAGGCCAUCUUUGUUAUCCUUUCACAUUUCUUGAAAUAUUAUCCCUUGCAGUCCCAUUUUGAGCCUGGUAAAAUAUUUUCUUUCAAAAGGAAACCCUGACUAGGAUCACACCCCGCACUGGGGGCAAAUGAGAGAUAAUUUUGAAGACGAUGAUAGAAUUAAUGGAUAAAAAGAAGGGUAAGAUUGGAAGCCCAACAAUGAAAAAAAAAAGGAAAAAAAGAAACCAAGGAGUGAAGGGCAUCCAAGAAAACUUUGAGAAAGGCUAUGUAAAAGCAGAAAAAGUGGAAAUGAAGGAGAAUGCCUACCAAUUCUAAGAGGGGCAAAAGAAGUUUCAAUUGAAGAAAGACACAACGAAUGCCAAAAGUCAACAACAAAAAUUCAAGUUUCAUGUCUUUUGGCGUGUCUAGGAUAAAGCCUCUAGUGUCUUCAAAAAAAAAUUUAGAUUGGUUAUUCAUUAAAUAAAAAGUUGGAUUUGCAUUAUGACCUAUGUUAAGAGAAUUCUGAUCUUUUGAGGUUAACAAGGUUAUAUGUCACUUUCUCUACAAAGACAACAAGAGAAAGAGAAUUAAUGAAUAGUUAAUGGUGAUCCUAAGUCUUCGAAACCCUCAAACACUUUUGAGCCUAUGAAUUUCCUUUCUUUCAUAAGCCAUGCACCAUAGCCUGCAUUAAGUGCUUUUUAAAAGCCCUUUUUGAUCAAGUAAGCAAUCUGAACCGAUAAAUGACGAUCUUAAAACUUGAAGAGCCUUUCCAUAAGAGUCGUGGCUUCAUGGAUUAAGCUACUUGUUAUUAUGCAUGCUAAUAAAAUUGGUGCUAAAAAAAAGAAAACAAUCUUUCCUAAUGAAUCCUCAAGUUUUGACUUGAGCCUUUUGUUUCUUGAAAUUCACAUAAGGUCACCUCAUCGCAGACCAUCAAAAGAUAUACCCAAGAUCAAAGAUUAAAACUAAUACAAAGAACCAUGAAAAAGGUCAUUUUAAUCUUACAACGGGUCAUUUCUGUUUUCAAAAUACAAGACAGUAAAAAGAUUACAUUGAAUAGUGUGUGUUGGGUCUUUGACCAAAAAGCUUGAUUUUCAAAAAGAUCUUUUCCAAAACUGAUAUCUCUUUGAUUUCAUUUCAACAAUUAGACUUGAAUUGACAUGAUCUUUGAAAUAUGAGAGUUGAUUCCAGAACAAGAAAGAUUGUUAAACAACAAGAACAUCGACCGAAUUUGCAAAUUCCUUGACAAGAAUGACAUCAACAUUUCUCGACACUCCUUGAAAAGUUGACCACCUGGGGGCAAUACAGUGGAUCCUGAAAGGGAAACAAGCAGUAUUCAGAUUAGCUAGGGGGCAAUGAAAAAUGAUCAAAUGAUGAAUCAAUGCACUGAGAACAAUGGUGUUUAAAGAAAGCUAAUCAGCAGAACAAGCAUUCAGAUAAUUACUGGGGGCAAUGUUGUUCAAAGACAGUUAGUGAUUUAGUGAACUUCAGCAGCAAUUGAUGAGCAACGCUGCACUUGAAGGGCAUUUUUAUUAUCGUCAGCUAAAACAUGGCUAUGACUCCUAACAUAUGUUAUCAGGUGAGUGCAUUUGAAUGAACAUCGAAAGAUGCACACCACUAAGACUGACUGUGGGACCAUCUAUUCUGAAUCUCAAAUGCGCACUUCACCGCAUGAAUAUGGGUGAUGAACAUCAUUGAUGAUGCCAACGCAUUUCCGUUCAUGAUCUGAUUUGACAAACUGAGAGGAAUCCAUGGAGAAGAACAUUGAGCUUACAACAAAGAACUUUUCACUGCAAGCUAUGAGAUGCAUGUCUGGACGACUGGAUGAUUUCCAUGAAGACUGGUGAUAACAUUACUUGAAGAGUAUUGUUUCAGCUUGAGGCAAGUUUAUGACUGGUUGACAAUCAUGAUGGUAUUGGCACGAUGCGCACAAUCAAUGAGAGAACAAUUCUCAGGAUAAUACAGAGGAUGAAUGAUCGGUUAAGAUCUUCAUGAUGAAUCAAGCAACACCACACUAGGGGGUAGAGUCAAGCUUAAUAAACAACGAGAGCAGUAAUCAUCAUGGACAACCCAGGAUGGGCACUGCACUUACAGCUGAGUGGAUGACUAGCACAUGAAUGAGCCAAUGCAUCGAAAGAACAAAUAAAGCUUUGGAAUGCAAACAAAGGCACCCUGUGAUGAUGGAACAUCGAAGAGGGGGGACCUAUAUUUCGAAUCAGGUAAGGAUGCAUGCAUGUCAGCUAACGUUAAAACAUUGUACAUAUUUUUUAUUUUGUUGCAGGAAAAAUCCUCAAUGUAGUUUAGCAAGAUUGGGGACCAAAAAAAAAAGAGAGAAAAAAAGGGAGAAUCAUUGAGCUGAUAAUAACAGAGAAUCAUGGUUGUGACCUUGGAACGGGAAGAAGAUGAGAUAAGCCUUACUGUUAGGAAAAUCUCAAAGAAAUGAAAAGAUCAACCUUGCAAUCAGGAAGCAUCGAGUUUUCAAACCCUGCGAUCAAGAAUUAUCAAGAAGCACCAAGUUUUCUGGCCCUUCUUCUAUCAUCCCUUCAGGACUUCGCCAGGUAAGUCCCAUUUUUCACACUUGUCACAUCACAUCUUUCAUUUGGGUAGGUCACCCAUAACAAUGAGACCAUUUCAUAUUUUUUCUAUCCUCCACCUGGGUAGGUCACCCAUAACAAUGAGACCACUUCAUAUUUGUUCUAUCUUCCAUCUGGGUAGGUCACCCAUUACAAUGAGACCACUUCAUAUUUUUUCUAUCCUCCACCUGGGUAGGUCACCCAUAACAAUGAGACCACUUCAUAUUUUUUUUAUCUUCCAUCUGGGUAGGUCACCCAUUAUAAUGAGACCGCACAUCAUAUUUUUUCCAUCUGGGUAGGUCACCCAUAACAAUGAGACCACUUCAUAUUUUUUCUAUCUUCCAUCUGGGUAGGUCACCCAUUAUAAUGAGACCGCACAUCACAUUUUUUCCAUCUGGGUAGGUCACCCAUAACAAUGAGACCACUUCAUAUUUUUUCUAUCUUCCAUCUGGGUAGGUCACCCAUUAUAAUGAGGCCACACUUCACAUUCUUUCCAUUUGGGUAGGUCACCCAUCAUAAUGAGACCGUUUUCCAUAUUCUUUCCACCUGGGUAGGUCACCCAUUACAAUGGGAUCACUUUUUGCACAUUUUUUUAGUUUUGAUUUAAUGAGGUCGCCAGAUGGGAUCUCAUGUAGCUUUGGUUAAAGGGAAUUGCCAGAUGGGAUUUCAGGUUGACCGAGCUACACACAUUUUUUUAGUUUUGAUUUAAUGAGGUCGCCAGAUGGGAUCUCAUGUAGCUUUGGUUAAAGGGAAUCGCCAGACGGGAUUUCAGGUUAACCGAGCUACCACACAUUUUUUAGUUCCAGUUGAAUGAGGUCGCCAGAUGGGAUCUCAUGUAGCUUUGGUUAAAGGGAAUCGCCAGAUGGGAUUUCAGGUUAACCGAGCUACCACACAUUUUUUAGUUCCAGUUGAAUGAGGUCGCCAGAUGGGAUCUCAUGUAGCUUUGGUUAAAGGGAAUCGCCAGAUGGGAUUUCAGGUUGACCGAGCAACACACAUUUUUUAGUUCCACUUUAAUGAGGUCGCCAGAUGGGAUCUCAUGUAGCUUUGGUUAAAGGGAAUCGCUAGAUGGGAUUUCAGGUUGACCGAGCUACACACAUUUUUUAGUUUUGGUUUAAUGAGGUCGCCAGAUGGGAUCUCAUGUAGCUUUGGUUAAAGGGAAUCGCCAGAUGGGAUUUCAGGUUGACCGAGCUACACAUUUUUUUUAAGUUCCAGUUGAAUGAGGUCGCCAGAUGGAAUCUCAUGUAGCUUUGGUUAAAGGGAAUCGCCGGACGGGAUCUCAGGUUAGCCCAACCACACAGGAUAUUGGUUCUGGUUAAAGGGGAUCGCCGGACGGGAUCUCAGGUUAGCCCUACCACACAAGAUAUUGGUUCUGGUUAAAGGGGAUUGCCAGACGGGAUCUCAGGUUAGCCCAACCACACACACGAUAUUGGUUCUGGUUAAAGGGGAUCGCCAGACGGGAUCUCAGGUUAGCCCAACCACACACAGGAUAUUGGUUUUGGGAAAGGAGAUCGCCAGAUGGGAUCUCAAGAUCAAAAAAAAAAAGAGAGAGAGAAACAUAGAAAGAAAGAAAAAAGAAAAAAAAAGAAGGAAGAGAGAACAGAAAAAAAAAAAAAAAGAGCAAGGUCUUUAGAUGAGUGGAGAUUGAGCAAGUUAGGAAGACAAAAAGGCAAAUUUUUCUUUACAAAGCUUACUAUGCAAAACAUUGAGGAGUUUUGCUUCGUAAGCAUUGUAAAGAGGGGGCAUAUGUUGAUAACCAAUUUUUGACCCAUGUUUUGAUAAAUUUUCAGAAAAAUUCAAAAAUAGCGAAAAACAUUGAAAAUCCAAAAGAUACGUUUUUAAUACAUUUGCAUAGUUUUUAUCAUUUUUAGCAUCGUCUCAAAAGAAUUUAAAUUUUCAAGGAUAUUUGGAACGCGUUCAACUUUUAACGCAUCAUUUUUAAAAUCAUUGAUUUUCCACAUUGAGUCGAUUUUGAUAUUUGCUCGCUUUCAAAAAUACAAAAAAAAUAAGAAAAAUCAAAAUUUACAAAAAAAAAGAGGAAAAGAGAAGGAAAGGAAAAGUUGAGGGACUAAUUUGAAAACCUAGCAAAACUUUUCCUAUAAAUACCAGCUCUGAUUUUGUUCUUCUCUCCCAGCUGGUUCCACCAGCUGCUCCCCCCUCCCGGUCGUUGGUCCUCCUCCCAGCCAAAAACAAACCAAACAGCCCCUUUUGAUUUUCUCUCUUCUCCCUCAACCGGACAGCCUCUCCUCUCUCCCAGCCGCUGCCGCUCACUCUACAUCACAGCCGUUUCCUUCCACUACGGCAGCAACCGAGCAACAUCCCUCACGGACCCAGAUCGGUCCGCCGCUCCUUCCUCCUCUGCUCCUCCAGCCGCUCACAGCAGACGCCCAGCCAAGACCCUCUCCUCAAACAGAUCUUCACCACAGCUUCAACAGCCCCAGCUCGCCAAGAUCAAGCCGGCCGCCCCCUCACCAGGCUCCUCUCCUCUCUCAGGCGACCCAACGGCCUCCCUCUCCGGGUCAACGAACAAACCCGGCACAGUGGCGCCCACAGAACCCAAAUCGGUCCGCCUUCUUCCUCCAGCAGCGCCUGCACACCACCGCGGCCUAACACAGUGGCCUCCCCCUCACAACGGAUCUGCCAUCUGAAGAAAGAGAGAAGCAGAUCCGAAAGAGGAAGAAACAGAUCUAAGGAGAGAAACAGACUUGCUUGUUGCGUUUUGGGUGUUUUGUAGGUAACGGCGUUGUCACCACCAGCAGAGAAGGGAAGAGGAGAUGAAACUGAGCUAGAUCCAUCCGGCUUCCAAGUUUUGUGCGGCGGCGCGUGAACCCACGCGCCGCCAGUGACGGUGGCGUGUGGGAAGACGCGCCACCACUGUUCAUGUUGUUCCAGAAGGGCUUCCCAGCACUGUUAUGGAUUUUUGAGGGGUUAUUUUGUAAUUUUUAAAUUGAUUAAUGUAAUAUUUGUUUAGUUUGAAUUUUUAUUUGCAUGUUGUGAAUUUGGAUGUAACAAAAGAAAGGAAAAGAAAAGAAAAGAAACAAAAAUAUAGGAAGAGUGAAUGUGUGUGUUUGUAUUUGUUUUUAUUUUUUUAUAUAUAUUUUUUAUGAUGAAAUUGCAAAGAUUAAAGAAGAAUUUAAUAUUUUGAUUGGAUCACGGUAAAGAAUUAUUAACUUAUACGUAAGUUGUAUUUCUAAUAUCCGAUGAAAAAACAAUUAUUAAAACUUCUUUAAACACAUCAAAUUCGCGAAGCAGCUUACCUCAGGUAGGGUGCAUUAGGGGUGCUAAUACCUUCCCUAACCACAACCAGUCCCUUACCCGCGAAUCUCUGAUAAGACCAGUACAUCCGGUUUCCUAGUAGCCUUCAAUAAAUUACUAGGUGGCGACUCCAACGAAGCAAAUAACGCAACAACAAAAAAAAUCGACAGCCGAUGCCGCGCGGAUUUUCUGACGUGCGACAAGGAUGAUGAUGAAUAUUGAGACUAAAGAAAAGAAAAAAGGUAAAAAAAAAAUGCAAAGCGUAUUGGUUUGGAUCCAUGAAUGCAAAGGAGACCAAAGACUUGCAUAAAAUAAUAAAUCUGGCAAGGAAUGUAAGAAUGACAAAACAACGUUUCGAGGAAAAAAAACAAAGAAAACGUGAAACAUGCAAAAUUGCAGCUCAAAAGAAUCAUAAAAAAAUAAUUGGAAUAAAGGUGGCAAAUACACAACAAACAAAGAUCAAGGCAUCAAAAAGAACAUUAGAUGCAACUAAACACUGAAAUAUUAUAAUUAAGAUUAUACACGCAAGAAAACCUCAAGAGGUGUCGACAAAGCAUAAGCAAGCAUGAAUAACUUACCACAAUGAAAAAAAAAAUUCAAAAACAGAAAAGCUUUGAGAAAAAAAUCAAAUUUAAUGUCCAGCUGCGUUAAUGAUUUUUUUUUUUUUUGGAAGUGGCAAAUUUAUACUUAUAAAAAGUAAAAGUGAGAUGUUUGUAAAAAGGAGAUAUUUUUUUAUGACAUUUUCAAAAAGAAUAUAAUGACUAUUGCAACUAAGGAGGAGAUGAAUAACAAUAAUAAUAAUAAUAAUAAUAAUGCAUUUUUAAUAAAAUAAGGGACCUGUAAACGAUUUGGAAUCUAGUGAAGAUCUUAAAGCAUGAUCUAUUAGAUAAACCUUAAAAGAUAGGUUACAAGUGAGAAAGAGUGUUAGAAUCACCGAUCCUAUAUAUAUAUAUAUAUAAUAUAAGAAUAAUAUAUAAAUUAAGAAUAGAUCAUGCACCACUGCAUGCAAAGUUUAAAUCUUUUCAAUAAAAUUAAAACUCAACUAUCUGAUAAAUUCAAUAUUCAAUAUUGCUUUCUUAUUCACUGAAUACAAGUUACUUUAAACGUUACAGUACUUCCUCUUUAUAUAGCAGUAGAGGUAGAAUAUUAUUAACUAAUCUAUCCCAACUUUACGGAAACAAUUCCUAUUUUUACGCUAGUAUUAUUAACAGACUUAAAUAUAACAGUAAAUGAAGAAUAUAUAUAUAUAUAUAUAUAUAUAUAUAUAGAGAGAGAGAGAGAGAGAGAGAGAGAGAGGAUAUUAUUAAGGCUUAAAUGUCUUGAAUCUUCAACACUCCCCCUCAAGUUGGUGCAUAGAUAUCGCAUAUGCCCAACUUGUUGAGACAACAAUUAAAGCUUUGGCUAGACACUGCCUUGGUUAAUAAAUCGGCAAGUUGUUCUUGAGACUGAACAUGAAGGACUUCGAUAAUUUUUUCUUCUAACUUUUAUUUGAUGAAAUGUCUAUCCACCUCAACAUGUUUAAUUCUAUCAUGUUGGAUGGGGUUAUGGGCGAUAUCGCAUGCCGCCUUGCUAUCACAAUAUAAUUUCAUAGCAUUUGUCUGCUCAACAAGCAAUUCUUGCAUCAGAUUCCUGAUCCAUAAUAACUCGCAAAUUGCUUUGGCCAUCCCCCUGUAUUCGGCUUUGGCUGAUGAUCUAGCCACUACUUCUUGUUUCUUACUUCGCCAAGUGACCAAAUUCCCCCCCACAAAUGUAAAAUAUCCAGAUGUAGAUCGUCGAUUCUCUAUUGACCAGCCCAGUCAGCAUCGGUGUACCCUUCAAUUUUUAAGUUUUCUCCUUUCUUAAACAGAAUUCCUUUUCCUGGAGAUGAUUUCAGGUACCUCAAGACCCGAGUAACAACCUUCAUGUGUUCUUCGCUUGGGGAGUGCAUGAAUUGACUAAUCACACUUAAAACGUACGCCAAGUCAGGUCUGGUAUGUGCGAGAUACAUUAAUCUCCCCACCAGUCUCUGAUAUCUCUCUUUAUUUGUAUGGAUUUGUUGUGGAUGUAUACUUAGUUUCAGAUUUUCUUCUAUAGGAGUACUGAUUGGGCUACAUGUUGUCAUACAUGUUUCUUUCAUAAAUCCAAGGCAUACUUUCGUUGAGACGGAAAUAUUUCUUCUUUCGAUCUUGAUACUUCAAUGCCAAGGAAGUAUUUUAAAUGGCCAAGAGACUUCAUUUUGAAUUCCUAAGCAAGGUGAAUUUGUAAUGCUUCUUUUUCCUCAUGAUCAUUUCCAGUAACUAUCAUAUCAUCAACGUAUACAAUGAGAGCUGUGAUUGUCUUUUUAUUUCCUUUUAAGAAAAGGGCAUGAUCUGAGUUGCUUUGUUUGUAUGCAAUAGAUUUCAUAAAUUUGGUGAACCUUCCAAACCAUGUUCUAGGAGAUUGCUUUAACCCAUAUAGGGAUUUCCUUAGUCUGCAUACCUGUGUGCUUCCUUGGGUUUGCAACAUACAUCCAGGAGGUUAUUCCAUAUAUACUUCUUCUUGGAGAUCCCCAUGCAAGAAUGCAUUUUUUACAUCAAAUUGGUAUAGGGGCCAGUCAAGGUUCACAACUAGAGAUAUUAGGAUCCAUACAGUAUUGAUUUUAGCCACUGGUGCAAAAGUUUCUGUAUAAUCAAUCUCGUAUGUUUGAGUGUAUCCUUUGGCAACCAACCUUGCUUUAAAUCUUUCAAUGGUACCAUCCAUUUUAUGUUUAAUGGUAAACACCCUCCUGCAUCCAACCGAUACUUUUCCUAUGGGUAAGUCAACCACUUCCCAUGUUGAAAUUUUUUGAAGAGACCUCAUUUCUUCAUUCAUAGCUUCUUUCCAUUUAGGAUCUUUCAUAGUUUCCUGUACACUAUUAGGGAUAGAUAUAGCAGAUAAUUGUUUCACAAAAGUUUUAUUUUCCUUUGACAGCCUAUGAUAGGAUACAAAAUUAUUCAUAGGGUAAUGUGGUUUAGAAGUGAAGAGUGGUUCAUAGUCAUUUCUGGGUUUUCCUCGUGUAGUUCUAUGCGGUAGAAUUUUAAGUUGAGUUUCAGAACUUACCUGAGGUUCGGGCAUAGAUUCAAACUCAGAAAUCACUUGUUCUGUUGGCACAUUAUGCAUGGGGAAAGCUGAUGACUGAGAUUCUGAUUGCCUUACUACUUCUGUCUGGUCUUCAGUAUAUGGUUGCGGCUCUAGUUGUAUCAUCUCUUGUGACUGUGGCUUGGUGUAAUAUUUUUCACUUAUAGCAUCCAAGUGAUACAUGUUGUCUUUGGGAGCCUGCAAGUUACCUUGGUUGUCCUCGUCAUUGAUCCUUUCAUAAGUGGAAUAAUACAUUUUAUCUUCAUGAAAUACAACAUUAAGAGUAACAUAUAGUUUAUGGGUUGGAGGAUGGUAACACCGGUAACCUUUUUGGUGUUGAGCAUAACCAACAAAGACACAUUUGAUUGCCCGAGGUUCCAGCUUGUUUCUUAAAGGCUUGUGGAGAUGAACAAAUGUUGUACAUCCAAAAACUUUUGGUGGUAGAUUCGACACAGUAGGUGAUUUUAUGGCAUCGUGAAGCACACUUAAUGGAGUCUGAAACUGUAGGGUACUUGAGGGUAGUCUGUUGAUGAGGUAUGCUGCUGCUGUAAUGGCUUCCCCCCAGUAUCUAGUUGGCAUAUGAGCUCCAAACAAGGAAGCCCGAACAACUUCAAGAAGCUGGCGGUUCUUGCGCUCUGCCACCCCAUUUUGCUGAGGGGUGUAAGGACAGGUAGUUUGAUGAGUAAUCCCAUGGUCAACUAGAUAUUGUUUCUGUUAUUGGCUAAUAAAUUCUCCACCAUUGUCACUACGCAGAACCUGUAUAUUAGAGUUAUAUUGUGUGGCUAUCAUAUUGCUUUCUUAUUCAUUGAAUACAAGUUUCUUUAAACGUUACAAUACUUCCUCUUUAUAUAGCAGUAGAGGUAGAAUAUUAUUAACUAAUCUAUCCCUUAACUUUACGGAAACAAUUCCUAUUUUUAUGCUAGUAUUAUUAACAGACUUAAAUAUAACAGUAAAUGAAGAAAUAUAUAUAUAUAUAUAUAUAUAUAUAUAUAUAUAUAUAUUAUUAAAGCUUAAAUAUCUUGAAUCUUCAACACUAUCAAAUUCAAUACAUACCAAAAUACACACUAGAUCCAAUAGUACAUAUAAUAUCCACGAGUCACUGCUCGUUUUAUUACAAUACAUUCGACAACAUUCAUAGAGAGUUCCACCAUGAGCUCAAAGUACGAAUUCUACACCAUUAUUCAUACAGAGGGACUUGCUCAAUAUAUAAUAAAGUGACAUAAUCUUUUAAACUUGAUGGAAUUGUGUAGGCAUCGUCAUCAUUCCCAUAAAUAACAUCUGUAACUCGAAUAAGAUUAACAAAAUGUUGAAGGAGAAGCAUUGGAGCAUUAGUUGGCCUCAUGCAAUCUUCAUUGAUAUCCUUCCACGCAUUAACGUCCAUCUUUUGUAUCUCUUCAAUUGCUUUCUUCUCCGAUACAUCAUAUUGUUUCAUGUAGCAUUCAACACCGGAUGCGCAGUCUCCUCUCUUUUGUUCAUCCUUCAAAAUAUAUAAACGAUGUUAUAGUUUUUAGAAAAUAAACUUAACAUGAAAAAUUUCUAAACACAAAAAUAUUAAGAAGAAAGAAAGUCAUGAGUUGAACCUUGGUUCAAUUUUUUGAUGCACGAAAUAAUUGAAAAAUCUUGUAAGUUAUUAAGUAUAUCAUAAGAUGAACUAAUACUUUUUCAUUUAAAAGAUAGAAUUUGUAAAUAAUUUUCAAAAUUGGUUCCUUGCUUAUAUAAGAUAUGAGAAUACAAUUCUCGAUGUAUCUAGUAAUUUUUAAUUUUAAGAAUUCAGACAUCGUACCUCGUGGCCCACAAUGUCAUUCAUCAAACGACCGAUCAUCUUUCCAGCUUUAAUAAUUUUUGGAUUACUUUUUAGCCAUUCAUACUCCUCCCCUCCUGCAACUUCUUCCAUUCCAAGGAAGGAUGCUGCCAUAAUUACCCCAUAAGCACUUGUGGCUAAUCCAUUGCGCACAUACUCAUCGAAUGUUGGGACAUGGCAUUUAUCUGCCCACUCCGCCUCCGCAUGGUAGCCUCUCACCAAUUCUUUGAACUAAUAGCAUACAAAUAAAACAAAGAUUGUGUGGUAAAACCUAUGCAAUAUUUAAAUUAAUAUAUAUACAAUAACAAUAUAUUAUGCUAGAAAUAGUAAAAGAAAGCAUGAGACUGGAAAAAUAUUCAUACUGCUUCCUUCACAUAAUAUGAGGCAUAGUAUCUUCCUUGCUUUCCCAUAUCAUUCUCAGUUUCGUUGAAAAGAUUCAGAAGAGCUCUAUAAAGAACUUUCAUGUAAUCGGCAGGUAGUUGAUCAAUAGCAUUCAUGCUGCAUCUGAAAUUGAGACAGAAAAUUACAUUUCCUUUCCUGAACAUCUUUGUAUCGACUUCUUUGUUUAUGAAAGAUUUAGAAGAGAAAGACAGACUAUGAGGUAACAAGAAACAAACCUUUCAAUUGCAUUAGUAAAAUGUUGUAUUUCUUCAAAAGAUGCAUAUGCAUCAUAUGUAUCAUCUACCAGUGAUACAAUUUUUGUAUAUUUCGUGACCAUCAUCCGAGAGAAAGCAUAUUGAGGCUCGAAAUGGAUUCCAUUUGCCCAGAAGUAGAUCUCUACAAUUCUAUCUCUUGCAUAUGGAAACUCCUCAGAAAAAUUUAAAUCAUUCCACCACCUAAAAUGUAAAUAGCAACGGAGUAAAGAAAUUCCAAUAGAAACUUAGUUUGAUAUUUCUCUCUAACUUAAACAAAAAAUUACCUGGAGAGAAUGGAUAGCUCUUGUCGAUGUAUUAACUGAACUCGAUUGAAAUCUAUCUUGGCAAACUUGAGUAGAGUGUCAAUGCGAGACUCCUCUUCUUCGUAGAAAGAGAUGUAUUUUCUAGCCUCUAUUCUUGGUACGCCUUUGUGAAAGGGCCGGAUCAAAGCAUUCCUAAUAUGGUCUGCUAGACGUGGGUUUGAUUGCAUAGCCAAAGACUCCAGGUUUGCCUUUGUGAAAACAAGAGCUUCAUCCAGUACCUGUUCUCCAUGCACACUUAACAAUGAAGCUUCAUACAAGCUCAGGAUGCCUUUAACAUCGUUGAUGAUUGUUUUCUUAAACUCUCCAUUGGUGUCCUUGAACUUGUCGAACACAACUGAUGAUUCAUAAGAAAAACACAAUACAAAUUUUAGCCAAUUUUCAAAAGAUGUUUGUGGAUUAUGAAAGAAUAUUUAUUUAGUUUCACGGAAGUUUUGCUAGUCACAAUAACUUUACUGUUCUAGUCUUUUUUUUAAUAAUCUUAAUUUGACCAUAUAUUACUUCUUGUGAAAGAAAGAUUUAGCAGAGUUUAGAGUACUGUUCAAGAAAUAAUUUUUGAGAUGUUAAUUAAAGUUUGAAAGGCUAUAAAGUGGAAGUAUGCGCUCACCGCAAGGCAUUUUGAAUCCAUGCUGUCUUAAUACUCGGAAUAGUAGUGACACAGUGUAGAGAUCAAAGUCAUGCUUCUCAAGAAGAUUAGGAAGGUCAUAAAAAAUUUCUUUAAGGCUGUUUUCAAUCUCGUCGUCAAAAUGAUAUGACACACCAAGCCGACAUAACAGAUUAAUGAAUUCAAUAUGUUCCACUGGAUCCUUUUUGGACGCCAUCAGCAUGUCCUUCACAUUUUCCUUCAACACUUCUACUUGUCUGGUGUACCACUCGAAUUCCUGCAGUGAAAUAUUCAGUAAGAAUCAACUGUCUUAUUAAUUAGAUUUUAAAAUGAUUGCUUUAUAUAUAUAUAAAAAAAAAGAGAGUUAGUUACAACUUAAUCUCUAGUUUAUCUGAACUAAUUAAACAAUUAUUAAAGUUUUAGAAACUAUAUGGAAAAAAAAAGAAUUUUAUUCUAUCAAAAGAUGAAUUCUUUGUUUAAAAUAAAAGCAAUCAACAGCUAGACAAAAGUGUAACUACUUUAAUUAAAAAAAUUAGAAACAAAUUGUAAAACAUCAGAUUACAAUCUUAGAGCAGAAUUGGAUGAUGGAUCCCACAAAUCUAAUGGCUCUAAUAGCUUGUAUAUAGUUUUGAAACUUAAAUUUUCUUAAUACUGCUAUACAUACAUAGAAGAAAAGUAAUUUACCGCUUGUGGGAAGGAAAAUGAAGCGAAGCUACAACCCCACAAGCUUGGUGGGAAAUUUGCCUCUGGACGAGAAUUGUUUUGGCGAUUACUGCUUGCUGUUAAAUGUGCUUGGGUUUCCAUUUUUUUUUUAGAUGAACUAGAGGCCAGUUCUUUAAUUGCUGGUUGAGUAUCUAAAUCAUCAAAGGAAGGCUAUUUAUAAUAGAAUAUCAAGACGUUACAUAAGAAAAAUGAUUUUGGUAUUGAAGCAUAAGAAAAAAGGUUCAAUUUUGUCUUCAAUCAUGAAAUGGCUUCAAAUGAUUUGAUACAGUUUAGCCUCAAAAUAGACUUGAUUGCAUAGUAGCAAGAUAAUCUGGGUUGCGUGGAAACAUAUCAUUUCUAUACAAAAAUUAUAAAAAUACAGAAAUUCAUUUUAAAAUGGUAUCCGAAACACAUUCAUUACUAACUCUUUAUUUUCAUCUCUAUAACCAAAUAUAUUUAUAUAUUUAUUAUUUUCAUCUCUUUUAUUUUAUAACAAUAACCAAAUACUUGUUUUUUU